ACAUCGAUGGAUUUUUUGUUACUUGAACCUUUGAAUCUUCAAAAACAUUAAUAGUUAAUCUGAUCAGUUAAACUAAUCUUCUUUUAUGACCAGUUGAGUUUUUUUUUUUUAAAUUUGAAACCAGUUGAUAAUUUAUUAAUUUCAAAACGUGAAAAAAUCGUAGACAUGGCUGUUGGCCAUUAGCUUUUUUUGUACAUUAUGGUACUUGAAAAUUGUAUUAGGGUUUGAAAUUUAAUUAUAAAGGGUUGAUCAGGCGGUGGAGCAAUUUAGUGCAGGCUUGACGACACCGAUGAUAGUAGGCUUGACGACGUUCUCACAAGUUGAAUUGGACACUGCUCCUCCGACCUUGUUUUUAAGUUGAAUUUUUUCGAACGAGAGACCUGUGCAUGGAUUUGACUUACUACACAAGAGUGUAAUGGCAACCGGUGUCGCCGACGUUCCUCUGAUGUUGCUGAACUUGACGUCCGAUAUCUUGACGUUUGAAGACACGGAUUUUGGGCAAUUUCCGGCAGGGCAGUACUGUUGAUUAAUGAUGAUAGGAUUCUCAACAUCACUCAUGAUGAUAUCGUCAAACGUGUAGUUCUUGCAGAUCAUUGGAAAAGAUUUGGACCAAGUUUUGAUUCGAACCCCGUUCAUCGUUUUCGAAAUCUUGCAGGUUUUUACCAAAAUAUCGGUAACAUCUUUGUCAUCUUUGAACUUUCCAAGACUCCCCACGCUGAUACCAUGGCCUGGUCCGCACUUGACACCGGUCACGGUGAUGCCGACGUUGGUUGGGCCUAUGGAAACACAAUCAUCUCCGGUUCCGAUAUCGGUGUCGGAGAUGGUGAUUCCAUUGGAAAGACCGAUGUGGAUUCCGUCGGUGUUGGGACUUGUCUCCGGUGCAGUGAUGGUUAGUUUCGUGAGCUUUAGAUUCGAGCAUUUGUAGAUCAUUAUGUGGAACAUCCUGCUGUCAAUCGAUGAGAUUCCUUCAACUGUCGAAUCGUUGAUGUUGCUGAAUUGAAUGUUCGUCGGAAACACUUUUCCGUUACGUUUGUUGCUUGGCCAUGUUCCCGCACCCAUGCCGUUGAAUGAACCUUUUCCGGUAACCGACAUACCGACCAAUCUCUCAAACAUGAUCCAGUUAUUAGGUUUCUUCGGCAAUGUUUUCAAGACGGCCGGAGCUAUGAUUUUGCCAUCUAUAUUGAAGACCAAUUUUGCCGGACAUGGUCCGGCAAAGUCUACUGGUCCGACCAUAAACGAUCCUGAUGGAACCACAUAUGUUGCUGUCGGACCAGUAUGGUUACAUGCUGCACUCCAUGCAUCUGCAAAUGCCUGAACAUAAAGAUUCACGUUAAUUUUAAAUCCAGUUUUUGAAAUGAUUAAAUAUAAACAUGAAUAAAAGUAGAAAACGAAGAGAAUCAUUAUCUCAUGAGAUAUUUUUUUAAAGGCAUCUCAUUUGAAUCUUCUCUUUAUAUAGUGAGAACCAUAAAAAUGAGAACUAUAUGAGGACUUUGCAUUUUAACCCUUACAUCUAGAUCUAAUGGUGAUUUAUAUUGUUUAUUAUUUAAAUCAUUUAAGGAUGAAGAUCCCAUGUAGACAUUUCAACGGUCGUGAUCUGAUUUUCACAAAAUCCUCACAUAUCAAGUUCUCAAUAGAAUCGUUCUGUAUAUAUAUGUAUAUAUAUAUUAAGUGAUUGAUUGAUUAAUUGUACCGCGGUGCUGUCAGUUUUGCCGUCGGCCACGGCCUUGAAAUCGAAGACGUUGAAAGUUCCCGGAGGAGAAGCGGCUCGGACGACGUCGGAGAUGAUGAAGAAGAAGAGGAGGAUUGAAGUUAUUUUAGGAACUAUGGAAUUCAUUUUUAUUUAGGAUUGUAUAGAUAUAUAUAAGGUUGGGGUGAUUGUUAUUGUGUUUUUAUUUAUUGUGGUGAGUUUACAUUUGGUUUUGUUUUGAAUUUAUAGUAGUUGUGAAGAGUUUGAUUUGAAUUUUGAAUCUAUUUAUAAAAUAUUCUGUUUUUGUAUUCUAUUUAUCCAUGAUUUUAGGUAACUGAAAGAUAUCAUAAAUGAUUUCGUUAUAACUAAGUAAUGUUAUUUUCAGUGAGCUCGCCUAAUAUGAGUUCAAUAGUGUUCAAGUCUGUACGGAGAUGUGUGCAACCAAAAUAUUAAAAAAUAAUAUAAUUAAAAGACAAUCCAGAUGACUUUGCAUAAUAUUCAACGAUUCAGAUAGGGUGAGCGUUUUUGAACUCACCCUAUGCUGAGCUCACACCUGGAAAAAGUUGUAAUUCGUUAAUUAGUUAAUAUUGUCAAUGAUUUAAAUUGUAUCAGGUUAAUUGGCCCAGGAAUUAAGAAAAUAUCAACUCAAAGGACCUAGAUGUAAUAAAGGAAUACUUGUGUGUUGUAAUACAAUAGUUGGGUUGAUUAUAAAUAGAGUGCACAUCAGGCGCGCAUAUGCGAUUAGUAAAUUGAUUAAUAGCUAAUCACAAGUCUACUACUCUACCACAUCCUGCUUCCUACCUAGCUAUCUACCUAUGCAGUUCGUCCUGUCAAGUCAGUUAAAACUGUUUAUUUAAUUGAAACCAUUAUAUCUGAUAAAACCAAGACCACCGUCUUCUACCAAGACCAAAGUCUUUAACAUAUUACCACCUUAAACCCCCUUCUAACUUCCUACAACCGUAACGUUUCGUACACUCUUCUUUCCUUUUCCAAUCUGUCUUCCCUAGUUACUGUUAAGGUGGUUUCUACGUUUAUCGUUCCGGUGUUCCGGUGGGUUCUGCGUUCUGGUCUUCUACUAUUAAGCUGGCUUCCAUCGUCGUUGAGGUCGAUUGAUAGUUAUGGGUUCCUCGUCCUGUUGAAGACAUACCAUUUCUUCUGCGUUAUAGGUUUUUCGGUUUUAACAGGUUAGUCGUACACCUCGUUGUCCUCUGAAGGAUCGCGAAGAACCCAGACGGAAGCCACCUUAACAGUAGAACGCAGAAAUGGAAAUAGGUGAGUAUGAACCCAGAACACAGAGAACGACGAAGAACACAUAUCAAUCGCCUUCAUAACAUACAAAACAGAACGAAAUCGACGAUGGCGUACUGGGUUGAUUAUAAAUAAAACAGCAGUGCACACCUGAUCCAAAUUGAUUAUAAAUAACUGUUUAGUUUUCAAAUUUCCGUUAAUCUGUUGUCAUUGUACGUUCUUCCUCAAUUUUUCACAUCGCCGGCGUACUGAUUCAAUUAUUUUCGCCUCAUCGUUGAGAACAUCGAAUCGCCUUGGCGUUAUAAUUUAGUUUUUAUAUUCUAUUUAUCCAUGAUUUUAGGUAGCUGAUAGAUAUCAUAAAUGAUUUCGUUAAUAGAUCCAUUAGGUAUUGUUUAUGAAGAAGAAUUGUUUGUUGUUCAAAGAAUAAUAUAACUUGGAUAAAAAAAACAUGUUAGCAUUUACACCAAAGUUUCUUGACUCGAAAAAUAAACCACACUAUCAAUCUAACGAUAGAAAUCCUUUUGACAAAUCAUCAUUAUACUAAAACCAUUUUCUGCGUGAAAAAUCAGCCACACUGUCAAUCUUUCUAGCAUCUCACUUCAUAAGAUCCACCCUUCGUGAUAUAACGCACCCAGUCGACAGUUUUGUAACCACUUUUCUCCCAAACCUGUAAGAAACAUGCGACAAUAUGAAUUACUAAAAUAUGACAAGUACAAUGAAUAGAAAUCCAUUGCUUUGGGUAUGACCUCAUGACGCAUACCUUCAAGAAUCGAACCCGAAGCCCUGAUGCAGUGAACAUUGGGACCUGCGCAAAAUAUGAAUUUUUAUGGUAUAUUGAACCUAAUUAGUAAUUAUCAACCUUUUUUUAAUUUUAAAAAUCUCUGUUCAUGUAACUUGUACAAACUUUCGUAUGUACGUUCAGGAUGCAUGCACAAAAACACAAUGAAUAUGUACGCUUUUGCAUAAAUGCUCCUAGUGGUAACGCAUCCUGAACCAUGGUAUGCACAUCAAACCAUUUGAAGCAACAUACAAAAUUUCUAAUCCAAAUUUUAAAUUUUCCACAUGCUACACAUUCUGCUAAAUAUAUACAUGAAUGAUAGAUGUGCAAAGAGGCUAUGGAAAAGAAAAAAAUAAUCCAGAUUCCAGGCUUAAUAAAAGGAUGUAACAAUAGAGAAUCUAUACAGAAUAUAAUACAAUCCCAUAUUAAUAAUAUGACAGCCAAUGAUUGAACAGUGAUCGCUGAUCAUACCUGGAAUUCCAUUUGAAUAGGUGGUUUCGUCCAUGUCUUCUUUUCACCCAUCGUAGAAAUCAACUCAACCUCUGCACUCAUGGUUGGUUCAGUUUGUCCAGGAAAUUUUCUUAUCCUGGAAAUUUGUAAAUAAGGUCAAUGGCAUAAAAAUAUUAUUUUUAAGGAUAAUAAAAAAUGAGCACCAAUUAUAAAAUAAUAAAGAACAGAAAAUUGAUCAAAGCCUAAAUUGAAAUAUAAGAUGCUUUUCUCAAUACCGAUGGCAAACUGUUUCUCAUUUAGUAGUUAAAAUGAACAAACAUAAAAUAGUACUGGUAAGAUUGAUUAUAGUAGCUAUAUAAUGAAAUGAAACAAUUUAAUUGAAUUCAUACUUACUUCCAAACUAAGCAAUCUAUGGAAGAAUCGUAUUUGGCUCGACCAGCUGUCACUUGAAAAUUUGCUUUCGCAGUUUGCUUUGGUACAGGAAUCUUGAUGAUAACCCCAAGAGCAAUCAUUUUUGCUCCAAAAACACUCUUCACCUGCAAAUUAAUAGCAACAAUUGACAUGAAUGAGACAAUAAUAAAGUCCCAUCGCAUGAUAGUAUAGUAUAAUACAAACCUUAACAUUAACUUCCAUUCUUGUUCUGCCCAAUUCUUUUAUUGUUGGCAACACUCGAAAUGGAAAAUUAACACCUUCGGUGAUGCGAUACCUGAUAAAAUUUAUUAUGAUUUUAAGAAAUAAAACUAGGCCAUUCAUAUUUAAUUGAACAUCUUUAGCAAUGUGACUAUCUGAAAUUCUGAAUAAUGUUAAUUUGACUAUUGCAAGAAUGAGGUUUUAUAUAUGUAAAAAACAAUCUAGCAAAAGGUAAGAAAGCUUCAACAAUCCAAUCCAAUCCCUUAUAUAUUGAUCUGUAUUUUUUCGAACAAUCCACUUUUACUUUUACCAUGUAUGAGAGAAUGUUGAGAUUAUUAUUUCACAUCAUUAAUUCUAUAUACAAUAUCGUUUCACGUUUGGCACAUCCAUCUAUUAUCUUUAACUCAAGAAUUUCAAGAAAUGAACUUGUGAUUUGUAGUAGUUUGUAACCUCACCAUUUUUAAAUAAUAACUAGCAUUAAACUUUCUACAAAAACAAUGACAUUUAAUUGAUCAUAUUUAAAGUUUUUUUAUACUUUAAGCAUAUAGAUAAAUCAUUACUAGUGAAAGAAGAAGAAAAAUUAAGAUCACAAUGUGCAAUUAACCAAUUAAAAACAUAAAUCUGAAAUUCUACAAUAAAAACUAUUUGAAGUCAAAUAAAAUGAAAGAAAAUUAAUAUUACUUCAUCAAUUCAAAUUCACCGUCUGGAGGCACGAAACUAACAGUCUUCUCAGAAUUGAACCUUGUCAAAUUUACACAUUGGUGGAAUGUGACAUCAUCCAGUUCAAUGGUUUUCCCACUGAAAAAUAUAAACAAAAAACUGUACAUGACCAGAAUAUAACAAUAAUUCAAAGGAUCUAUAUGAUACAUAAAAAUGCUCAUAAGUUUGUAAUAAAAAUAUAUUAUGAUCCUUAUGAGCAUUUUGGAAUAUAAAUAAAUCGGUAAACAUUAUCAAAUAGAAUGAUAAUUGAUCUCAUAUUGUGAUCCAACAAAAGAUAAGUGGGCUUUCCUUAAAGUAAAAUAGUAAAUAAUCUUUUUAAACCAGACAUGCACGAGUUUUAUCUCAACAUAAAAUAGAAACUGAAUUAAAAAGCUAAAACAAGCAAAAAAGGAUUAUUAAGUACUACAUGUGCACUUGAGAGUUAACUGGCCAACUUCUUGAAACAACACACGCGGUUACUUUAUCACUAGGUGUUAAAACUAGACAGGAAAGUGUUAAUGGGUUCCCCUAUCUCUCUUAUUUAAUUUUUCCUCUUCAAUUGUAAUUCAGGGCCCUUCCUUUCAUUUUAUAAUGAGAAUUUACUUCCAUCAAAAAAAUUAUUUAGAACUUCUGAGAUUAAAGAUGUAAAUUGGGUGGGGGUCUAAGUCAGGUAUAGCUAGCCUCGGGCCUGGUAACCUGAGGCAGGUCAGGUCUUGCAAAGGAGACCCCAGGGCCCAGACCCAUGAAAUUUACCAGGUUCUUGCAGGGGGUAAAAAUUAAAAAGUAUAUUUUGUUUAAUUUAAAAUAAAUAGAUAAAAUACAAUUAAAUAUUAAAAAUAUAUAAGUAAAAAAAUACGGAUUGAUAAUUCAUAAGUUUUAGUAUAGAUUAAGAAGUAGUAGGAUUAGAAAUUAAUUGAGUUUUAGAUUUUAUAGGAUUUAUCAAUUUAGAUUUUUUAAUUUUACAGUUUCGCUUCUAUACUAUUUGUUUUAAUAUUUUAUAUCAUUAUAUUUAAAUAGUGUCCAUUUCUAGUUAUAAAUUUAUAAUAUUUUAAUGUGCUUGAAUAGUUUGAACUUUGAAUGUCUAACUCUCAAAUGCAUUCUCAACCUUUAGCUGUGAUUAAUAUAAUUAAUUAAUUAUAUAAUAUAUUUACCUAGUUUCAAAUAAAUAAAUAAAGUAAAAAAGUGUUAAAAGUUACCGUUUAAUAUGAAAUGUGAUUUUUCAUUUUUAAUAUGAAAUUAAAUGCAGGAUCUAACAUGUUACCUUUUAUUUGGUCUUGACUUAAUCUGUGAUUCCUUUUCAAGACCAAUUUUAUCAUUCAACCCUAACUUUAAAUCAGGCAUUCCAGAAAGAAAGCAUUUCAUUAGAAUUUUUCCAGUAACAUCACAUCGUAGAACACUUCCUACAAAAUCAAAUAAAACCGGAAAAAGAUUAAUCAGAAGAAGAAGAAAUUAUGAUAAACUGGUAUGAAUUAUGAAAUUAUUAUACCUUUUGAAGACAUGAGAAGAUUCACACUUUCAACAAUAUCCAAGAAAACCUAGAUAAAAUUCUUAAUAUUAGUAAGAAUUGAGAAAUAUAAUAGCUAAUCUGUGACCAUAAUACUUCCAACGUAAAUAAUACCUCAUUUUUCUUGUACAAAAGGCCUUCACGUCUCCAACCAACAGCUCCAGUAACUUGAAGAGUUGCAUUAGGAACUGGUUUUUCUGAGGACUUUUCAUCCAACACAACAAAUAAAAAUGCUUUAAAACACAGCGGCAUGCAUAUGAUUGUCGUAUACUAGCUUAAACAAUAAUAUAACAAUCUAUCUGACAAAUGAACACUAACUUUGGAUGAGAAAGGUGACCGAGUUCCUUCCUGAGUGAUAUACAGCUUCAAUAUUUCAGGUGAAAGAUUCUGAGGAUAACCAAAAUCCAUAAUUUCUGUAAAACAAGAUAAAUUUAUAAACAAAAUUAAUAGAAAAAACUAUCCAAAGUACAAACAAAAACUCAACCAGAUAUAAUAUUAUUAUAAUAAUAGAGCCUCUAUAAUAAUAUGAUUAUAUAAUGGAUGAUGUAAGCCUGUCGAUAAUUUAGGAUAAAGAUUUUGAAACAACCAAAUAUCAAACUCACAUCCAUGGUUUAAAAAACGGCGCUUUAAGCGCGCCAAAGCGCACUUGAAGGGGCACUUUUUCUAACGCUUUUCCUAAAACGGGUAAUAGGGUGGGUUCGGGUAAAGAUCCGCCCGAUUACCCAAUUACAUGUUUUACCCCUCUAUUUAGUAUUCACAGUGAAAUUUUCACUUAUUAUACUUUUUCCUUUUCUACUCUUCUAUUUAGUAUUCUAUCUUAAAUUAAAAACUCAUAAUCCUCUUUCACAAAAAGGUGAAAACCUAAAAAAUUCAAAACUCUUCACCUCGCCGGAGUUGGCCUCCAUUCUCGCCGGAGAAGGCCUUAUUUUCACGAAGAGAGUUGCUUCCCCCCCACUCUUCUCCUUAUUUUGGUAAGGUUUUCCCUCCCCCAAGCACUCAACAUCCCCAAACAAAGUUCGCCAGAUUCCGAUCAACCUCGUUUAUUUUUAAUGUUCUAUUACAUGUGGUAUUGUGGUUUUAUACUUUUAUAUGUAUUUUUUAUAGGUUUUAUAUGUAUUUAUAUAGGUUAUAUGUAUUUUUACAGGUAUUUACUGACUCUUUAAGCACUUAAAACGCCCAAAGCGAAAAACUACUUCCUGAAAAAUGGAGGCGCUUUUCGCUUUUUUAAACAAUGCUCUCAUCUCCCGUCCAAAUUCUCAAGAAGCUAUCGAGUUUUUCUUGGAUUUUCUCACCACCUUCAUAAUACAUAAGCCAUGAAGAGACCAUAAACCAUCUCAAAAUUCAACAGUAAAUACUCCAGAUCUAUCCACCCUCCCCACAAUUUCAAAAGGCUCAAGCCAUGUUCUAUGGAUGAGGAUAAAUUCACUUAUUCAACAAUCCUGAGUAUGAACUAUGGUGACGUCAGAGUGGAAGGUAUCAAUAAGAAGAUCAUACAGAACUUCACAAAAGGUACCAUUUGUGGGACGCUGCACUGGCCUUAUUGAGAGUCACUGCUUGGCACAUCUGGAGUGAGUGAAACAAACAUUCUAAGCAGAAUUCUCUAAGGUCUCCUGAGGAGAUAUCCAAAGAAACUCUGAAGGAUAUUCAUAUCAGUUUCAAUGUGAAUAUCCAUAGGAAACUCAAUAGCUCACAUAUUGAGAGAUAUGCAAUCAACUUUUGGAAAUCCAACACCUUGAAGUUUCUAAUUUCAGCUACAUGAGCUUUAAAGAGAUGUAUAACUCUAUAACUGUAUAAGGGCGAAGGAUUAACUGACAAUCAUCACUUUAAUCUAUAUUGUUGCAAAGAUAUCCAAGUAAUUAUAGAAAGAAAAUAAAAAUAACAUGGUAAUCCCUGAUCAAUUAUAUGAUAUUUUUCAAAAUGAUGCAAAUAUCCAAGCAUGACAGAUAGUGUGAUACCUACAAAUGCAUUUUGUGAUUCUUUUGUGGAGUUUAUUGUAGUUAAGCAUCAAAAUUCAAAGGAAAUGAUGCCCACUAAAAAGAUGUGUGGUUAUAGAAGCUAUUCAAACAACAAAGUAAACACAAUUAACUAACAUUAUGUAUCAUUACUAUCAUACCAUCAAGAAGCUCAUAUAUCAAAACAAAGUUAUUACGGAUAGCAUCUUCGUCAAAUGCUCCUCCAAAGUAAGACUUGAAAAGUGCAACGGCCUGAAAAGGUUUGGAAUUUUGGGAUUCACAUGCUUAGUUACUGUCUUCAGAAUAAGAAUUUAAAGAGUGCAGGUUAUUGAUUAUAGAUUCAUUAAUAAAAAAUGUUUACAACUAGAUUCAUCUACAAGAACAAUCAUAUUCAUUCUAAAAGCAUUUCUUAACUAUGCAUUUGGAAUAGUAAUACACAUUACUUACUUGUGUGGAAAUUCAAUGCAUGUCUGACUGACAAAUUAAGAUGAAGAAAAAUGGUCUAAACUCUAACUUUUAAGCAUAAUAAAAAAUCAACCCAAUAUCAAGUUUUAAAUGCUACGGUGUAUAAAAAUAGAUGGUGAUAUAAAAUCUACACACAAAAAAAUGAUAGAAUAAUAAUCAUAAACUAUUGGGUUAUUGGAUAUGAUAAGUGAAACCCAGAAUUGGUAAAAUGGUUUGAUUAACUUUGAUUUCAUCAAUGGCAGUAUGGCACUGCAUCAUUUAUAUUACUACAGUACUAUGCAUCACUUCAAUGGUAAAUUUUCCUUUGAAAAAUUGAAUAUGCCCAAUGUUUGAGUUGCAGGUUAAGAAAUUGUAAUCAAGGAGAUCAUAAGGGACUCCAGUCUAUCCUUCAAGCUAAAGAUCCACAGAAAGGAAUGCACCAGGCUAGAAUUAUAGAAUUUGCAUAAGUGCGAAGCUAAAUUCUGAGGCAACCUUCCUAAUUAUUUUAUCACUACAAAAAAUGUCAAAUAAAAUAUGAGUCGAUGGGCAUGACCAUCUCUCACCUUAUCUAUUGUAAAUUUGUAAUCCAUGAGGCAUGUCUCUAUAUUAAAUUAUUAAUGGAAUUUAACUUUGUAAAAAAAUAUAUACGUACGUAUAUUAUAGUUGGACAAAAAGAGAAAUUCAGAAAACAGUCAACUUACACAAGGUAUGAGCCUAUGCUAGAAACAAAAUGAAAAACUACAAAACCCUAUCUACCAAGGAAUAAAUACAGAUAUUCCACAAUUAACUGUUAAGAAAUAUUUGGUUAAAAAAAAUACCUCAACGACAAACUUGAAAGCGCAUGCAACAUUGGCAUUGCUGCUAACAACAAUCACAAUGUAAACGUUGCUGAUUCUCAUGUAAAAAAAAGAGCAAUUCCCAAUUUGCCGAACAGGACACGUACCGAGUUCUUUUGUGUGCAUUAUGUGAGUUCGAAAUGCAUCCACCAUAUUGCCACUGAGGAUCAGUUAUAAUACUUUAAUAAAAUGUAAAUGAUAAGAAAAAUAGAAACACAAAUCAUUUUUAAUAGGAAAAAGUAAAAAAACAAGAUUAGUUGAUAUAAGCAAUUUAAAAAAGUAAACUUGUAUAAAAUAUGAAUGAAUAGUUUUGAGGAAGUUAACCAAUUUUAACCUUUAAUGAUGGAAGUUAACCAAAAUAAAAUAAAAUUUUGAGGAAGUCUAUUUUUUUUAAAUAUAUAGCUCGACUUCUAGUGAUUGACUGCUAAUACUACCUCAUGAGGUUAGUCUUCCAUAAUUGCAAAGUAAUAAUCUCCAUUUGAGAACAACAUGCUUUCUUGAAAUCCUCAGAUUUGAAGGAGAGGCUCUGAUGUCCUUAAUAAUUUCUUUAAUGAGGAUCUCUGGUGGCCUCCGAGUGUGCUUCUUGAGUCUUAUGUUCCUCUUGAACCAGAUGUGCCAAGCAAGGCAUUCCAAAGCAGACACCAAAGAGAAGAGUGAUGAUUGAGUUCCUGGCAAGCUUCAAUGAGGUCUCAUAGUCUAAUUUCAAGGCUGGUUAGGGAGAGGGUGAGAGAGUUUGUCAAUUUCCAGAAGUGGUUAAGGGUUCUGGCCAGAGCUAGUGCGACAGUGUCUAACGCUAGCAGUAUGGUUCUGGUGUAUGGGAAAUUGAAAAUUAAGUGAGUUUUAGAUUCAUACUGUGAGUCACAUAGGAGGCAGCCUGUUUGAGUUUGAAUUUCUUAUCUCCUUAGUUUUUGGAAGAUUGUGAGGUGUCCCCAUUUAAUUUUCCAUAGAAUUUAGUAAGUAUAUGCGACCAUAUUCCAGCUGCAAAUUGAUCCUUGAUGCUUCUAACCCUAAGGGGUUCAGAUAUUCCAGCUGCAAGUUGAUCCUUGAUGCUUCUAAUCCUAAGAGGUUCAGAUAUUUCUACCAAUGUUUUCAAAGAAGUUCCAGCACUCCACUGUAUCCUAUUUUCAAACCUACACUUCAGAGUCCAUACGCCUUUGUAUUACAGAAUAAUAAGAAAUAACCAGCAUUCAUGGUAAAUUAGUAACACUGUAAAUCUGAAGUUCCAAAAGCAGCAUUGACUUGACUAUUUAAUGCAGUUUUAGAUAAGAUAAAAACUAAAAACAGGUUCGAAUAAGAGAAUAUUUGAAUUUUAAAGCAGUCAUUUCUAGUUAGAAUGUUAUCAAGUCGAUAUUUCUUUUAAUCCAAGUUCUAACACAGCUCAAGACGCACAAAAAAAUUCUAACUUCCGAAUCAAGUGUUAGCAACGGAAAGAACUUGCAAUUCAUACAUGCAACGAGGCAAUGACGGAAAAACUGAAGUUUUUAAAGUCGUUCACUUUUAGUAUACACUCAUGAUCUGUUGAUCUUGGUUGUCUAAAUUACGAAUUGCAACCAGUAAAAAAGAAAGAAAUCUUUUUUCCAAAGAUAAAACAUAGAGAAAAGGAAUCAGACCCGACAUCAUCACGGUAGAGACGAUUGAUGAGAACAUCUCCUCGGAGAUUGAGGAAGUAUAUAGCAGAUGCCGCCACAGGCAUCUCUUCCUUUCGCACGGCCGCCGCGUUUUCUGAGGAGGAAGGAAAGGAGACUCGUCUGAAAAGCAACAAAUUUCGAAUUUGUGUCAGCAGAGAUUUGGGAUCUGAUGAGGAAGAUAAGGAGGAGGAGAAGGGGGAAUUGAAACAGAAUAGUGAGGUCAACUUCUAAUUCUCGCUCUUGCAAAUGUAAUUUUGCAAUAAACACCUUAUCCAUUGAAAAAAUUGCAUUACAAUCAUUAAAGUUAAUUUUUGUAAUAUUUGUAUACAAUUUUUCUAAAAUACCCUUAAUAAUGUUAAAUGUUGCAAAACUGACCUUGAAAUGACUGAAUUUUAAAAUUCCAUACAUUAAAUGUACCUUGAGAAUAUCAAACAUUCAAUAAAUGCACUUCAAUAAAUAUCCAUAUUUUUUUACCUAUUUAUUAAAUAUACCUAUUUUAAUACUAUUUCAAUCAGAAUCAAAAUUGUAAAUUUAUUACAGAAGACCAGAUCUGACGACAUUAUAACUGAAGACAACAUACUGACGGCCUAACCGUCACGAGAACUAAUACUGACAGUCAGUAUUAUCCGCCAAAAAAGUCACUUUUUCUAUAGUGUGGGAUAGUUAUGGGUCUGAUCUCUGAACCUGAUCGAUUCACGACCCAAUUCUUGGUUUGGGGUACCAUCACAAAUGGAAUUGAAUUAUAAGUACCUAUCAAGAAUAAAACUCAUGAUCUAAACAAACAAACAAACAAACAGAAUCUUCAUUGAGUUUAUCAGUCAAAUCUAUAUUAUGUCGGAUUUAUCGAACAAAGUUGGCCGGACGGGCGACUGGAAACUAACCACGUGUAACAAUAUAAACGGCAAAAAGCUAAACCACAAGAAAUGAAGAAAAAACAAAUUUCAAAAAAGAAAGAAAGAGACAAUUAAGGUUGAGCUAUCAUAAGAUGUACAUAGAUAACUCUUUCAAGUGUUUAAAGUGUUUUUGAAGUGUUUAAAGUGUUUACAUAGAUAGGAUAUUAGAAUCUUAUGAGUAUCUUUGCUGAAUUGAAGUUGGUUUCCAGUUGUUGCACUAUAUCCACCAUCAUCACAACUCACAAUUUAUAAGCAGUGGAUAUGUAUUUUUCCAUGUCAUGGUGCAAUAUUGGUGCUUGCUUAAUUUAAAACCCUAAAAUUGCUAGCAUCUAAAACAUCAUUUUCAUCUUGAUCCAACUAAAUUUGAGAAUAUUCUAAAUUUUUGCAUGCCGGACGGCCACGGCUGGCUGGUUGAGCGUGCUAAUUACUGCUUACUUUAAUUAAACAUGUGAUUAGUUAUAUUAGGCUCUAUAAUUAUAUUUUCUUUAAGUUUCUACAUUUUUCAAUUCCUGAAUAUUUUACCAAGAUUGAUAGAUUUUCAAGUAUAUAUUGAUUUGAUAUUUGUAAUAUAAUGUACAUGGAUUUAUAGCUUUUUUUUUAAUAUACCGAAAUAUAUACUUGAAUUACAUAAUAUAUCAUCGGUUGUACACGUAUCGUGGUGAAAAUUAAUAAAAAUUACGUACAUAGCGCGCGAGAUUAAAAUCCUGGCAUGGAUCCUCAAUAAUUUUAAUACUUACUAUGUCCAAUUGAGUUAAUCGAAUUUUAAAUAAAUUUUAAAAAAUAAAAAAAUCGAAUUGAUUUUUAGACCCAUUGAUAUAUUAAAAUAUCAACGAAGAUUAAAAUUAGGUUAAUUUUAAAUUAAAUUUAGUUUUACCUGAUUCUUUUUGAGAAAUUAAAACUUUCAUUACUGAAAAAAAGGUUCAGCAUAGCCCAAGAUUACAGAAUAAUAUAAGGAAAUGCAAUACAGUAAAUGUAAAAAUAUUGUCUAUCUCUUAUGCAGCUAUGACGACCCUGAUUAACUGGCCAAGGAUUGAAGUCUCAAGAGGUUGGACUCCCGGCCAUGAACGUAUAGCUUGUAUUUCAAUCCGUGAAAAAUUUACACAUGCUUCUUAUAAUAGGAUGUAGAAUCAUACGUAAUGCUCACGUACAUACUUUAUAAUUUCAGUUUUACCUGAUUCAUUUUCUUUAUUUUUAAUAAAUUUUAAUAGUUACUGCAGUAGGUAGAAAGACCUGCUUCUGAAUGAUAUAUCAAAACCAGAUAAUAUAUAUCAUCAGUCACAGCGUGAUGCAAAUUAAAUGAAAAUUACGUACACAACGAGACUAAAAUUUUGAAGUCUUAAUAUAUAUAUAUAAGUUAUUAUGAUCAGUUGAGCUAAUCUCUCUCUCUGUCAAUGACUAUCUUUUUAUCAGGUGAAGUAAGACAGUCGACUAUUGCUGAUCGACGUCUUUUUUAAUGUAAAUCCACAUCAAAGCAACAACUAGUGCGAAUUUAUGGAAGAAAUAUUACUAUAAUUUAAGUUAAAAUGCAAUGCACAUAUUAUUUCCACGAUAAUGACAUAAAACAUUGAUAAAGUAUGUAACAUAUACCCAAAAAUUACAGCAAAAAUAAAAAGAAAAUGAUGAUGACAUACAUAGAAAAUAACAUAACCCCACUAUUAAUUUAUGACAUAAUUAUUGAUCUCCAUCUCCAUCCUUUCCCCACCAUGACAAAAGCUUCAAUUCAUGUAUCCAUCAAUCAAUUAACCUACUUGAUCUUUCUAUUAAUUGUCUAUAUAAACACCACAAAGACUCCACUACUUAUAAGUUGAUUAAUUAACACGACUCCACUCAACUGAACAAAUCUCAACUCUCCCAUGGAUCAAGGUGCAAUGGUGUCAGUUUCUGCAACAACAGAUAUUGCACCAUUUUCUUCUGUAAGUAAUUAUUGAUUAAUCGUCAUUAGGUGCAGAAUGAAUAUAUAUAUAGUAAAUUCUAUGUUGGAUUGAUUCUUAUAUAGGCCAGGGAUAUUGAAGAAUCAAACACGCUUUGCACGACUCUAGAUGGGUCUGUAGAUUUCAAGGGUCGUCCGGCGAUCAAGUCUAAGUCUGGUGGGUGGGUAGCUGGGUUUCUGAUUCUGGGUAAGUUACUUUAAUUUUACCUGUUGUUAGGGUUUACAUGAGAUAUCGAUCAGUCUUUUAAACAUGACACGACACGUGUGUGUGUGUGAAUUAUUAUGUGUAUGGGAUAGAGAGGGUAUUCAAAAUAACUCACCAACGGAUGUUACUUAAUAAUGAGUUCGGAUCUCAAAUUGGGUAUGGUAAGAUAUACGAGGAGUCGGGUUGGGGUCCGUUCCUUAGGAACGGAACUUUUUUGGGGUGGCAGUGGUUACCCUACGUUUGUCUCACGUCUGACUAGUCGACUUAGUUGAUUAUUGACGAUUUCGACCCUCUUGCCUUUUUUCGAAAAAGAGGGGAAGGAGGAUAUGGCUUCAAUGGACUAUGGUCGCGUGGGAGUGUCGAGUCCUCGGGUAGACACAAGCACAUGACAGGCGUAAGCAUAUUUGAACCUUUUUGAAGGAUUUCUGAAACCGAGAUGAAAGAGAGGGGUGUGUGGAAAUCUGAGACUAAACAGAUGAGUUUUUUAAGGAGUGUGUGAGUUAUCUUUGUUUUUAUUACGAUUUGUGUUAAUUAUAGCCUCGAACGUGCCUUUAUAUGGGGUCAGGUUCAGAGAGGCUCACUGUCAUUUUUUUGAGUAUAUAUUUAUCACGAUUAUUAUUAUAAAAAAAAAAAAAGUGAAUUAUUAUGUGUUGUGUCUUACAUAUGCAGUGAAUCAAGGUUUGGCAACUUUGGCUUUUUUCGGACUUGGAGUGAACCUUGUUCUUUUCCUAACAAGAGUUCUCCAACAGGAUAACGCCGAUGCGGCCAACAACGUGAGCAAAUGGACGGGGACGGUCUAUAUCUUCUCCCUAGUGGGUGCUUUUAUGAGUGACUCAUACUGGGGAAGAUACAAGACUUGUGUGAUUUUUCAAGGCAUAUUCGUUGUGGGUCUUGCUAUGCAAUCUCUAUCGACAUACUUUUUCUUAUUGAAACCAGCUGGAUGUGGAGAUGAACGUUCUCUUUGCACACCUCAUACCACCAUGGAAGUGAUGACCUUUUACAUCUCAAUCUACCUCGUUGCUCUCGGAAAUGGAGGUUACCAACCUAACAUAGCAACUUUUGGAGCAGAUCAAUUUGAUGAAGAACAUCCAAAGGAGUCUCCCUCAAAAGUCUCUUUCUUCAGCUACUUCUACUUGUCACUAAAUUUGGGAUCACUUUUCUCCAACACAAUAUUAAGCUAUUUCGAGGAUAAGGGUAAGUGGAUAUUAGGGUUUUGGUUGUCUACUGUGUCUGCUUUUCUAGGCUUGGCCCUUUUUCUAGCCGGUACACCAUGGUAUAGACAUUUCAAACCUGUUGGGAACCCUUUGCCUAGAGUAGCACAGGUUGUGGUAGCUUCAACUAGAAAGUAUCGUUUGCAACCAGAGGGGGAAAGUGAUCUUUAUGAUUGUGAUGGCAAGGAUGGGUGCUCAUGUGGUGGUGUGGGUAACAGUACUAGUAGCAGAAAAAUACUCCAAACUAAUGGGUUUAGAUUUCUAGAUAGAGCAGCUACCCAAAUGGACGAUAGAGAUUUCAAAAACUGUGGUGAGAGGAAUGAUCCAUGGAGGUUGUGUACAGUGACUCAAGUAGAAGAAGUGAAAUGUGUUUUGAGACUCCUUCCAAUAUGGGUGUGCACCAUACUUUACUCUGUUGUAUUCACACAAAUGGCAUCUCUGUUUGUAGUUCAAGGAGCUGCAAUGAAUCUAGACAUGGCUGGUUUCCGCAUACCACCUUCAAGCAUGUCAGCCUUUGAUAUACUAAGUGUUGCAGCUGUCAUAUUCUUGAACAAGAGACUGGUGAAUCCCUUGGUUUGCAGACUACGUAAAGAUGGGAGAGAGAUGACUGAGCUACAAAGAAUGGGUGUUGGGUUGGUGAUUUCUAUAAUUGCAAUGAUUGCAGCAGGUGUUGUGGAGCAUUACAGAUUAGUUUAUGUUGUCCCGGAUUGUGAAAAUUGUGCACAUACAAGCUCCUUGAGUAUAUUCUGGCAAGUGCCACAGUAUGUGCUUGUUGGAGCCUCAGAGGUUUUUAUGUAUGUGGGUCAACUUGAGUUUUUCAACUCACAGACUCCAGAUGGAUUGAAGAGCUUUGGAAGUGCACUGUGUAUGACUUCUAUAUCGUUUGGAAACUAUGUAAGCAGUAUUCUUGUGACUAUCGUUAUGGAGAUUACUAAAAAAGACCAGUUGCCGGGAUGGAUUCCUGGGAAUCUCAAUGAGGGUAGGUUGGAUAAUUUCUUCUUUCUUCUUGCAAUUCUCACAUCUGUGGAUUUUGUGGUUUACAUCGUGUGCUCCCAAUGGUACAAAAGCAUCAAAUUGGAAGGGAGAUAUGGGUCUUCUGAAGAAGAUGAUCAAGAGGCUUCUUCAAAGAUUUAAAUUUAAUGAAUCAAGUAAUAGUUAACUAAAAUAUUCUAAUUAAUUAAUGGCGACUCAUCUUUCUAUAUUUAAAUAUGUAUUAAUGUAAGGUAAUGGGCGAUAGAUAACCAUGAUACUUUCGAUCAUAGGGCGACGUUCUCGUUGUACAACAUUAUAUUAAUGGACAUCUCGUGAGAUAUUGGACUAACAUUCAUCAUUCAUAUUGUCGUUAUCGAGUUUUCUUGUCUUUUGUAGAUUACAUUUUGCACGUUAGACCAGUAUCACAUUUUGCACGUUAUAUUUUGAUAUCUCAAUCACACAUGAUACAUCUUUAUGUUUCCCUCUAAAUAAUUCGACUAGUUAUAUCUCAAUUGACCAUAAAAACGACUAACAUUUUCGUUAAUUUUUUUAUCUGGUAGAGAGACACAAUUAGCAAGUAAUAUCUCCAUAAUCAAGGUUUGGGAUUUAUCAUCAUGUUUUUUUGCAUUACAAUGAUGAUUGGCGAAGAAAACUGCACACAAAAAAUCAUUUUGCUUCAAGGUUAAAAUAUAAAAUAUAUGGAAAAAAACUAUACAAAAUAAAUUAAAUAUAAACAAACUGUACAAACUAUUAUUUGUUAUGAUCAAUUUCAUUUCAUCCCAUAGCAAAUAAUCAACGUCCACUGUACUUGGUUGCACACUUGUAUUUACUGAUUGCCAUUGGAGCUGACGGAGGGAGGAGGAGACACUCGUGCCUCUUGAGGCUGUGGUGAGGCAGUGAUAGCAUAUGUUAUCCGUGACGAUGAAUUUUCAAUGAGACCAGCAACUCCAGCUGCAGAAGAUUGAGCAUUGGAAGGAAGAAAAAGAUCAUGCUUCUGAUCCUUGUAAGCUCUCCAUACCUGCCAAGAAGGAUUACAUUGAAAUAUUGAAUGCCUGAUGAAAUAUUGAAAAUUAUUAACUGCAAAAAUACACUAUUCAUGACAGAGUACUUGAGCAAAACAUAUGCAAAAAUAUGUACAUAAAAUUCAAUAAACACAGAGAAGGGAAGAAUAAAAAUCAAGGUAAAUGAAAAAUAAUACUCACAUCAGAUGAAUCCAAUCGAUUGCGAACUUUAGCACAAUGGGCACCUUCUGCAGAAAAUGCACGCAAUACCUGGAUUCAUCAAUGUUACACUUAUCAGCUUCAGAAGAACUUUAAUAAACCAUGAAUGAAUAAUAGCAGCUUAUUAAGAAUACGAUAUAGCCCAAAAGAUUAUUUCCAUACGAAUAUAUUAUAUACAUACAAUGGAUAUAACAGAUAACUAAAUCACUUAUAUAUAUAGGAUCCAUUUCCGGUACGACACGUCCGCACGGCGACUCGCUGCGGACACUAUUGCGAGUGGAGUUCGGGGGUGCCGUCCACCAUCGCGAGGCCGGAACCGGAAUGGAGUUCGGGAAUCGCAAGUUCGCGAUGAGUUUGGGAACCCGGAACCACCAACUUUACCUCUGGGAACCCAACGCGGUUCCGGGUUCGGGAGUGCCGUCCUCCAUUGGCACGCAAUGCGGUUCCUCACGCGUCGACCGUCAAAUUGCCAUUGAAGGUCAUCCGCUUGAGGUACCGCACCCAGUUUCAGAGAUGGACAUACUGUCUGUGAAACUGGGUGUGUAUAUAUAUUAGUUCCUUUAUAAAAUCCAGAUAUCUGAUUAAAAGCACACUUUUGGUGAUGCUAAAGUUUUGAUUAUGAUAAAUAUAUUCCAGCAUUUUGGCAGCAUAAUCCUGUGAAAUUAUCACUAUUUACUGGAAUCAGAUUUCUCAUUUUGCCCACACAGUCAUUUCAUGUGUGUUUGAAAUAAGCACCCUCUCCCCCAAAAAAGGAUCCAGGUUUUCGUCAGAUCUUUUACAAAGGUCGCAUCUCUUAUCAAUGCUAGAGUCUCUUUAGUUUGUAGCUUAUUCUACCCACACAAAGAGAAUUUAUUCAUGCUGAUAAGACCAUGAUCCAUCUACAUAUCUAUCAGGCAAGAACCUGACUCUAGUUCUUUCCAAGGAUGGCUUGAGUUCCACCACUGUCAAACUGCAUUUUGAUCUAGUUUAAUGGAACUAUCAAUGGAUAAUUUGCUGUCUACCAAUUCCUUCCAAAUGUGAGAGUCAUUAAGGUACCUCCGUAUUAACUCCCACCUGUUAACUAUUAAAUAUACCUUUUUCAUCCAUUUUGACCCAAUGGAAUCAUCCUUUUUCUCCUAUAUCACUAUCCUCCAUAAAUUUCUGACUUUAGAUACUUCACAACAAUUCUAAAUACGCCUUAAACCUAACACCCCAUCAGUGAACGACCUAGUACAUUAGAACUAAGGGGAAAAAUUCGAUUCUAAAGCUCGGACUCAACUUAGGUAAAAUAAAUUAGUUUUAUAAAUUUUAUACUUAUACAGUUAUACCCUUAUAUGUUAUAACUUAAAAGGAUUGGUACUUAUUAGUAUUACGUUACUUAAAUAAUAAAUAUUGGUAAUAUUAGUAAUAUAAUAUUAUAUUAGUUUAAUAAUAAUAGAAUUUACUUUGAGACUGAGCCUAGCCAAAGCCCUAACGAGCCAAGCCUAAACCUGACUCUAGAGCCCAUAGUUUGGCUCAUUUACAUACCUAAUUGGAACCUUGAAAUCUGGUUCGAAGAACUCAACAUCACAACUGCUCAUUUAUUAUCCUUCACCUCACUUUUCUCUUAUUUUUCUCAUGUGUCUUAAGUAAAGAAAAAGGCAUUGGGCUAGUUGACUGGACAAGAGUACAAGACCCAUGGUAGACCAAGCUCAAGACUAGACUCUAUAAAUAGGAGAGAGGAAAGGAAGGAAGGAAGGAAGGAAGGAAGGAAGGAAGGAAGGAGGAAGGAAGGGGAAUUUAAUUUCACUUUUUCCACUAGAAAGUUAUGAUCUAUAGAUCUGCAAAGACUUUCAAUGAAAAGGGAUUUAGAGUGAUUAUCAGACGCACAACAUUCUCUCACGCGACCUAAUCCUCAAAGUGGGACACCAAAUUGAGAGUGAACACUAGGCGAGCAAUUUUCACCAAAGUUCCUAAUCAAAUCUAAAUUAAAAAUCUGAUACCCAAUUCAUUCCCAACCAAAAUCUUCACCAACUAUGGUGCCCAAAUCACUCCCAGACCAAACUAUUUAAAUGGAUUCUGGGUCAAGAUCUGACCUGAACCAAACUUAGAAAGAUACACCUAAUGCGUCAUGCAAUUGAACACACAUUUAAAACCUUGGUGUAUAAAGGUCAGAGUAACUGCAUAAUCAACUUGCAUCAUUAUUUAAAACUUCCGUACAAUAGAUACAAACCUCUACAGCAAGUACACGCCCUACAUCAGCAUCUGACUCAUUCCACUUCAUUUGAGUAUUAAGCCCAUGCCUUCCACCAGCUCUCCAGUCGAGUAGGCCAAGGAGUACUUCAACAAGACCAACCCUAUUUAAAAUUCAAAUAUUCAAUCAAGAUAGUUAGAACUAAUCAUGUAACGUAUUUACUACAAAUGUGACUAUGGUAGCUAAUAGCUAUGAUGGUGAAAAAAGCAAAGAAAUAUUAGAGCAAAAAAAGGUUAAAACAAAAGGCAUAAAACAUAAUAACAUAUCAUACUGAUAUAAAUUAUAAUUACGUCACAAACACAAACUCACAAAAAAAAGUAAAAAAACAUAGAGAAAGAAAAUCAAAACUUUGAUCACAAAAUACACUCAUAAAAGGCAUAAAACAUCAUGAAGGUAACAAUAAUAUAAGUUUAAAAUUGAUAACUUGAUCUUUACAAAAAGUCGAAAAAGAUAAAUGUUAACAUAGAUCUGAAAAUAAUAACGCUUAAAAGUGUUUAUACAUGUACGAGUCAUAACAACAUUUACAAUUAUGGAUUACCAAAAUUCACAAUGAAUUAUUUUUAUAUUAGACACUUAGUUAAGUUUUUGGCUUUGAAAUGGCCAACCAAAUGCACUAGUGUAAGAAAUAUGAAAUGACGAUAUGUUAAAAAAAUAGUCGGAAAACCUGAACCUGUCAAUAUCUUCAAGCAAUAAAUGAAAUAAAGUAAUAAACUAUCACCAACUUACUUCAAUCCUUGCGCUACAAGUGAGUCUCUUGCACGAUUUCCAGCACCGACAACUCGUUUUAAAGUUUCAAGUGCCAGAAUGCUCCCUCCUUGCCAUCCAAUUGUUUUCAUGAGCAACGGAACAACCUAAAAGCAUUCACAUUAUAAAUAAUGAUAUUAGUCUGUCAUUCAUCAUGAAGAAUGUAAUUUUUUUUUGCAAACAGUAAAAAAAUUCAUUAAUAAUUUAAUAUAAUGAAGAUAGUGCCCUACGUUACAAACGGGAAAAGAAAUUAAAAUGUAGUGGAGAGGAUAGAGUGGUUUCCCGUUCUGUCGACAUUCUCCUAUGUGGCUAAUCCUCUUGGUAAUCUAGUAACUAAGAUUUGAGCCUCGGGAGGUUAGUCUCCCAAACCUGCAUAGUAGUCUUCUCCGUUUGUGAACCACAGUCUUUCUUAAAGAGAUCUGCUCUAAAGGAAAGGCUGGAGUCCUUAAUGAUUUCCAAAAACAUUGUCUCUGGAGGUCUCUAAAUCUCUAACUCUUAGGCCCCCUCUUCUUCCUUUGGGAAAUUUAGGACCAUGACAUUUAGAAGUUGGAAUUUCAAUAUUCAGUAGAUAUUUUUAAAAUGUUAACUAAUUAGCCAUCUAAUUGCCUGAUUUAUAUCUCUAUUCAUGAAAAUAAAAUAAAAACUACAGGAUUAAAUCAUUCUCUGUACAAACCUGAGGAGUCCCCGUACUUGUAGCUGCCAUAGCUUCCGCACAAGUUGUACUGGAAGCGAGCUGGUGAAGAAUACGUAAACAGCUAAGGCGUACACGUUCUUGGGGGGUUUGCGAGGAUUGUUUUGACUGCUCAUCUACAGUCUCAUUGAAAUCAUCAGAGCGACCGUCAUUCUCAUUUUUCAGUUCCUCGGAAGACAUUGUUUCUCGUCUUCCCUCAUAGGCUACUGCAGCAACAAGCUUUGGAACAUAACCAAGAUACCCAACGUGAUCUGCAAGUGCUGGAUGUACUCUCAACAAUGAUACCAAUGCAAAAGAUAAAAGCAAAGGAAGUUCAAAAUCAACAGAAGUUUGCCUAUCAUAAUGAGUUGCUGUUAUUGAGGAUAGAUACUGAUCCAAUAAUCCUUCCAAAAAUUUUCUAGGAUUUCUCAAAGGAAACUUGGGAUCUUUUAAAAAUAGCCUUACAUAGAUUCCACCAACCUACAUCAAGUAGAAAUAGCAAUUUAGUUAUUUCUUUUAAAGAGGGGAUUCCUUCUAAAAAAACUGAUAAUGCAUUUUUUAUAAUACCUGAGGUUCAUCUCUCAUUUCAUGUUGUCCAGAUGCCUUCUCAGGUAUAUCCCAAUCAACUACUCGGCCUUUCAUCUGAUCAUGGUAGAGAUCAGAUGCCAUAGUUGACAACUGUGCAGAUAGAGAUGAAGCCAUCGCUUGUGUCCAAACAAGUUCUGGUGUUUCUGUUGUUUGAUCAAGAACUGUGAUCACCACCUCACCAGGUCCAUCCCUGAUAGCUGAUACUAAACCAUCUGGUAGAAAUCUUGCUAGUGUUAUAGCAACCCUAGGCCCAUGCAUUGAUUGUCCCAGAAGCUUUCCCAACAAAGAUGCAGCAGCUGCUCUUUGCUGUAAAGGUAUUUCCUCUGCAAAAAAAACAAAGGUUUUAAGAAUGGUCCUGAAACUUCAAAUGCAAUAUUUAUGAUACUUUUCAUAUCAAAGAUAUCUUUUAUGCAAAACUCUGAACAAAGAUCUUUACAUAACUUUGACUUUUGGCCCACUAUUUAAGCAAUAACUUUGAAUUAAGAAUACUCACCUUGCAUGGGUAAUAGAAGUUCAAGAAUAUAUACAACCCCACCAUGCUUUGCCGCUGCCCAUGCUAGUUCAGGUGUGCUGGCCAAGGCAUAUAGAACCUGCAAAGUUCCCUCCCUAAAUGGUGGAGAGCAAUGAAGCAUUUCUAAUAAAAGGAUAAGAUUUUUCUGCUCGGCAACCAUUGUUUCCAAACAAGGAGCAUACGCAGUCAGUAGAGAGAGAAUAUCAAGACAAAUCUGUGUAAUGUUACAUUUGUCUGGAAAAUGUACAACAAAACACUCAAAAAUAGGCCGAAGUUGUUCGUUUGUAGAAAAAACUGCUGCCAAACUAGGGUUCUUUGUUAAAAGAUUCUGCAUUGACAAAUAUUAAAAUUUUCAGAAAUUUUUCUAUUUUAUGAUUUAAAUAUUAAAAUUUAAAACCAGUAAUUACCCGUAGAGAAGUCAAUCCCAUCUGAAGUUUUUGAAAAGACUCAGAAUCGUUAUGGUUUGUUUCCCCUGAACUAGAUGGUAACAUAGAAUCAUCAUUUUUUUCAUCAUGGGUAAAAUCAUUAGGAUUGGCAAUUUGAAAUUCAGAUGAAUCUACAGAAGACUCAGUCCCUUCUGACUUUAUCUGGCCAUCAUCAGAUUCUCGAGAACUAAGAUUUUGAACAAGACCAGAUAUAAAUUCAAGAAGAGCAAUACAAAAAACAUCUGACUCGCUUAUCUCAAAGUCAGGCUGAUUAUUAUAAACCCUGAGGUAUACAUCACCAACAUGAAGCUCCUUGGAAAGUGCUUGGUAGGUGAAUGACUGUGACUCUUUCAAAUCAUAUGAACCAUCAGGGUUCUGGGUAGCACGUUGCUGAUCAACAAAUUUUAGCAGCUCCGUUCGUGUUGAAGAAUUCCAUAUAAUCUAUAUCAGGAAGUAAUUAUUUAUAUAAUCACUACCAAAAUUAAUGCUAAAAGUUGAUGAAAUUUUACAAUUUGCAAAAAAAAAAAUUUGGAAAACUUCAAAAUUUAGCAUUUACUUGAUGACAAAUUGGCAGACAUUUCUAUUUUUCACUUUUUCGUUUAUGUAAUUUUGCUUUCCAUGAAUAACGAUUACAAUUUUCACAAAAAGUUGAACAUGUAAAAUUAAUCUAGGCCAGAUCAAUGGAUUACAAGAUUUGCAAUAAUAUAAUAUUUUGCGUCUAGAAAACAUACCUCAGGGGAUUCCAAAUUUGUAUUCAGACUUGACAGCAUAUCUUUCAAGUAUUGGCAUUUAAGCAUAUUAGCAAGCUUAGGAGUAAGCAAUGCCCUGAGUGCAAUAGAAGCAUCCUGAUUAUAAGGUGUUGAAAUUUCAUCGCCGCAAACACCGCAAAGUUUCGCCAAGGUUUGUGAUGCAUGAAUAGCAUGCAAGUUUUUAGCAAUUUGUACACUGGUACCGACACCAUGUGCUUCAGUUGCAUCAGUAUCAUCAGCCGUAGCAUCGUAUUGAAACAAUAAUGGUAAAAGAUACCUGAAAUAAGAUUAUUUAGCAAUAGUAAGAACUAAGAAUGAAGUAUUCAUUGUACAAUACUUCAAUGUGAACUAAAUCUCAAAAUUCAAUGCCUCAUAGAAGAGUUUCUAGCGUGGUGAGGUGAGUUGCUAUGAUAGAAUGGACAAUACCAUUGGCCUACUGCAAAAGGAAAUUUUGAGGAAGUCUCUAGAGUGUGCAUCAUUAUUGUUGUAGCAAAAUUUAUUCCGGAGAAGUAUUGGACUGUUGGUUAAAGUGAAAGAAGAAGAUGGCGUGGAAUUUAAAUCAAUCUAAAUAUAUGUGGAGAGCCUACUUCCUAGAUGCUCAACAUGUAGGGUAUUAUCCUAUUUGGGCACACAUAUGAGAAGAAAAAGAAAGGUCAUAAAUAUAUGAGAAGAAAGAGAUUUCAGAACAAAAUAUAUGUAGCCUAGUAUUCAACUAAUGAUAAAUUAGUUGCUUAUAUCAGCUGGAGGGUGGAUGAGUAUAGAUCUCGUUUUGGAAUCAACUGUGUUGCUUGAUUCAAGGGCAGCGCCCUGUAUAGAUAUACAUCUCCAGGACCUUAAGUCAUGGGGCACUAACUAUGCCAAAACAAAAAAUAGAAAAGUAACAAAUAAUUACAAAAAGUAACUGAUUUAUCAUUAGUGCUAAACUCAGACAGAUUUUAGUGCUAAACUCAGACAGAUUUUAGUGCUAAACUGAGACGGAUUUUAGUGCUAAAGUAAGUAACUAGUGCUAACCCUAGAUGUAUCAUUAAUGCUAAACUGCUAAUACAAAAUGUCCAGAUAUUGCUCUGUACCAAAUUAAACAAGAUAACUAUUUAGCAGCCAGAAAAUAUUUAACUUUAUAUGUAUGGUUACAUACCAGAGAGCACCAGCCCGGAGUAAAGCAUUCUGCAAUUCAGAUGAUACCGAAAUAUGUGAAGCAGUCAGAAGAGCAGCAUCGACAGCAGAUGGCGCCAAUUCUAGCUCUGUGCAAUUAAUAAUAUUUUGAACCAGACCCCCAAACUUGAGGAUUUCUUCUCUUGCAAUCUCAAACUGACUAAGAACAGAGAGUGUGUGCAUAAGAUUUGUAACAAUUGUUGCAGCUGGAUCAUUUGCCAAAGUUGAAGGCCUAACUACAAACAUACAACGGGAUAUAAGACCAGCUAGGAGUGAAAUUCCAUCAUGCCUAACAAGUUCUUCACCAUUCAAUGAAGAUGAUGCACACCUGAAUAUGAAUUAAAGCCCCAUAUAAGACACUUGAUAAUGUAAAUUAAAAUAAGAAAAUGUGUGGCUGAUCAUGCUAGUUACGUUAGCCAAAUGAGUUCUGAUGCAGCAACAAGAAGAGGUGCCCUGUCGGAUGAAAGGAAAUUAUUGUCUUCCUGAUCCACAGUGACAGCAUUGAGCAACAUAGGAUAUCCAGCAUAUUUGAAAGGUUCCAAGAUUUUCCCAUAACGCCUGUAUAAAAUACACUGGCCCUUCAAUAAAAGCAACAACUUCCAAAUUUGUGGACCUUGCAAUCCUUGCAUGGUAGCCUGUAGAAUACAAGAAAGAAAUUAUAUUACUACAAAUAGACAGCUAAACAGAAUAACAUAUCAUUUCCCAGUGGAAAUGUAAGGAUUACAGUAUGGAAAUGCCUAAGGGUAUCCAUGUUGCCAAUAACCAAACACCCAAAUAAAAUGUUAUAUUAUUAUUUGUAUAUUUGUAUUUGCUAUUAAAUGAAUAUUUUGUUUUACAAAUUGCAGUUUCAUUAGUCUCAUGAGUCAUGACUCACGAACUCACGAUGAAUUUGAAUAUACGUUAUUUUACUUUCUAGAGUAAUUACAUGGCAUAAAUGAAUGCAAAAACAUUAAUAAAGUACCAGUUCAUAACUUCAUGUUGUUCGGAUUUAUUUGCAAAAAAAAUUAAUAUUUUUUUUUUGCAAAAAUUAAAGGUUUACAUUAAUAGUAAUGAAGGACAGUGCCCUGAAAAAUGUGCAGUGCCCUUCAUUAUUAUUAAUGAGAAUAUUUAAUAUUUGCAAAAAAAAUAGUACCCUGAAAAAUACAAAUGGAAAAGAAAAUAAUAUAGAACAGGACUGUUCUAUGGAGAGAUGAAGAAAGAAGAAUGGAAACUUCUUGUAAGAAGGGAUGAAGAUCUGGAAUUUCCAAGGAUUCCACCAAGGAUCAAUUCUGAUCGGGAAUAGCAAAUAGAAAAAAAACGGAAAUAGGAAGAUAGAAAGGUAGGAAGAAACGGGAGAGAGAGAGAUAAUACCUUUUCAAUAAUAAAAAUAAUAACCAGCCCUCCUUUGGGUCCACUUGGUCUUUUAUACUCACAUUAUGUGUGGUGGACAACCUUCACAAUGUGAGUUAAUUGGCUUCAAAGGUGAAGCACAAUGGCUCGAGCCAUCUCGAGCCAAGCUUGAGCCUGUUCAGGGGUGUGCUCAUCUAAUUGAGGCCCUCUGUUAAUACUUCCAAUNNNNNNNNNNNNNNNNNNNNNNNNNNNNNNNNNNNNNNNNNNNNNNNNNNNNNNNNNNNNNNNNNNNNNNNNNNNNNNNNNNNNNNNNNNNNNNNNNNNNNNNNNNNNNNNNNNNNNNNNNNNNNNNNNNNNNNNNNNNNNNNNNNNNNNNNNNNNNNNNNNNNNNNNNNNNNNNNNNNNNNNNNNNNNNNNNNNNNNNNNNNNNNNNNNNNNNNNNNNNNNNNNNNNNNNNNNNNNNNNNNNNNNNNNNNNNNNNNNNNNNNNNNNNNNNNNNNNNNNNNNNNNNNNNNNNNNNNNNNNNNNNNNNNNNNNNNNNNNNNNNNNNNNNNNNNNNNNNNNNNNNNNNNNNNNNNNNNNNNNNNNNNNNNNNNNNNNNNNNNNNNNNNNNNNNNNNNNNNNNNNNNNNNNNNNNNNNNNNNNNNNNNNNNNNNNNNNNNNNNNNNNNNNNNNNNNNNNNNNNNNNNNNNNNNNNNNNNNNNNNNNNNNNNNNNNNNNNNNNNNNNNNNNNNNNNNNNNNNNNNNNNNNNNNNNNNNNNNNNNNNNNNNNNNNNNNNNNNNNNNNNNNNNNNNNNNNNNNNNNNNNNNNNNNNNNNNNNNNNNNNNNNNNNNNNNNNNNNNNNNNNNNNNNNNNNNNNNNNNNNNNNNNNNNNNNNNNNNNNNNNNNNNNNNNNNNNNNNNNNNNNNNNNNNNNNNNNNNNNNNNNNNNNNNNNNNNNNNNNNNNNNNNNNNNNNNNNNNNNNNNNNNNNNNNNNNNNNNNNNNNNNNNNNNNNNNNNNNNNNNNNNNNNNNNNNNNNNNNNNNNNNNNNNNNNNNNNNNNNNNNNNNNNNNNNNNNNNNNNNNNNNNNNNNNNNNNNNNNNNNNCAGCUGAUCAAGAAGCUCUUCUAGCCUUGGUAUGGGGAAGCGAUAUUUAAUAGUUAUCUUGUUAAUGGCUCUGCUGUCCACACAAAAUCUCCAAUCACCAUUUUUCUUUGGUACUAACAAGGCAGGUACAGCACACGGGCUUAUGCUAGGUCUAAUGAAUCCUUCUUUCAGUAGCUCUUCCACUUGACUCUGUAAAAUAUCAGCUUCUUUAGGACUCAAUCUGUAGUGAGGUAGAUUGGGUAUAGAAGCUCCUGGUACGAAGUCAAUUCUGUGGUCUAGGUCCCUGAUUGGUGGAAGUUCUGAUGCUUUCUCACGGGUUAUUGCUGGAAAUUCAUUUAGAAUUUUUUUUACACAAUGUGGAACUGAUCCAGAAUUUUCCUCAGUUCUCUCCUUAGAAAUUAGUGCAAAUCCUUGUAAUUCAGUCCUUAAUUCUUUUUCAAAGAAUUUAUGAGACUGGAUUAGCAAAUUGGGCUUUUCUUGGGCUGUUUCUGAAUUUGGAGGAAGAGGUAGUAAGGCUACUCUUUUAUCAUUUACUUUGAUAAUAUACUGAUCCAGACGCCCUCUAUGAUUUGCAUCUACAUCAAACUGCCACGGUCUCCCUAGAAGUACAUGGGUUGCAUCCAUGUCAACUAUGUCACAAUCUACCACCCCUUUAUAAUUUUUUCCAAUUGAUAAUGGCACUUUGCAGUAAUAUUUUACCUCUACUUGGUCCUCACUUUUGAUCCAGCCCACUGUAUACGGGUGGGGGUGGUUUUCAAAUUUCAGUCCCAACUUCUUUGCUGCUUUUUCUGCGAUGAGGUUGUCAGUGCUUCCAUUAUCGAUAAUUAUCUUGCAAACUUUCCCAAGGAUGGUUCCCUUUGUCUUAAACAAAUUUGACCUCUGAGUAAGGUCAGCAACAGGAUGAACACUGCAUGUCUUAUGUAUUAGACAUGACAGGCUUGGUCCCUCAUCUGGGUAAUCCUCCUCUUCAGGUUCAGAAUCUGAUUGGGCUGUUUCUAGCUCUUCAUUUGGUCCCCUAUUCUCAAAUAUUCUGACUUGUCCCCUCUUUGGACAUGUAUUUGAUUUAUGUCCAAACUCUUGACAUCUAUAGCAUUUAAUUCUUGCCAUUGAUGGAUCAGGUACAUUUGUUGCAAUUUCUUUUCCUUUUGGGGUAGGCAAGAUUCCUUUCUCUUUAUCAGUUGCUAUUUUGCUAGAGGAACUCCCAAAAUUGGAAUUAUAAGAACUAUAAAAUUUGCUAGAAUGUUGCUCUAGCCUUUCAGCCAAAUUAAUUGCACUCGAUAGGCUGUACUGAGGGUUGACAGCCAUUUUAUACUGUAAUUUCUCUUUCAGUCCACUCACAAAUCUAGUGGCUAAUUGCUCUUCAGACUCUUCAAGUUGUGUUCUGGCCGAUAAUCUGUGGAAUUCAUUCGCGUAUUCAGAUACCGAUCUGUUGCCUUGUUUACACUGUUGGUACUGAAUGAAAAGUGUGCUCUCAUAAUCUGUUGGCAAAAACCUUUGUCUCAUCAGUUUCCUCAUUUUAUCCCAUGUUCUCACUUUUUUUUUUGGUGUUUUGCCCUUAGAUAUACUGUUUGAUCCCACCAGCUUUGUGCUGUCCCUUUUAAUCUUAGAGCCACUAACUUCACUUUCCUUGACUCGGGGGUGUUCAUAUAAUCAAAAUAUUUUUCCACCUCCGAAAUCCAAUCCAAAAAUGUUUCAAUAUGCAUUUGGCCAUUGAAUUGGGGAAGAUCUAUCUUCAUGCGAUAGUCAUUGUAGUCAUCCCCAUAAUUAUUUUCAUAUUGAUCCACUGCACCACCUCUGUCUUGUUGAUAAUUUCUGUUAUUUCUCUGAAAAUAUAUCUGAUCGUUUCUCCUCCUAUACUGCCUAAAUUCAGGCUGAAACAGGUCUGGAUCAGCUUCAUCUGACGAAUCUGACUCUUGUUGUUGCUGCUGAUUCCGAUUUGGUUGCUGCUGGCGAUCGGGAAGUUCUUGCCUUGGCGGUAAUGGAGGUUGCUGAAUAGCUGGUCUGCGCAGUUCAUUUACUGCCACUGUUAGGUCUGCCAAUGCUCGCACCAGUCGAUCAAACUCCUGCCUGGAAACAUUCUGUUCUGCCAUAUCCGUCCAGAAAAAAUACUGCAAAUUCGUCCAGAGAAGAAGCCGCAAAUCUGUCCAGGAAUGAGUCGCAAAUCCUAGUCUGAUACCACUUAAUAUAGAACAGGACUGUUCUAUGGAGAGAUGAAGAAAGAAGAAUGGAAACUUCUUGUAAGAAGGGAUGAAGAUCUGGAAUUUCCAAGGAUUCCACCAAGGAUCAAUUCUGAUCGGGAAUAGCAAUAGAAAAAAAACGGAAAUUGGAAGAUAGAAAGGUAGGAAAAAACGGGAGAGAGAGAGAUAAUACCUUCUCAAUAAUAAAAAUAAUAACCAGCCCUCCUUUGGGUCCACUUGGUCUUUUAUACUCACAUUAUGUGUGGUGGACAACCUUCACAAUGUGAGUUAAUUGGCUUCAAAGGUGAAGCACAAUGGCUCGAGCCAUCUCGAGCCAAGCUUGAGCCUGUUCAGGGGUGUGCUCAUCUAAUUGAGGCCCUCUGUUAAUACUUCCAAUAUUAGGGGUAAAGAGGUAAUUUGCAGAAUUACACAAAGAAUUAAGAUGCUCUGCAUCAGAAAAGAAAAUGUAAUAGGGGGAUAGGAUAGAGUAGUUUCCCACUUAAUCGACCAUCUCCUAUAUGGCUUGUAUCCUUAGUGAUCAAGUAACUAAGAGGAAGAGCUGAGUCUCAGGAGGUUUGUCUCCCAAACCUGCAUAGCAGUCCAAUCCACUACUCCACUCCAGAUAAUAAUUAUUAUUAACCAGUAAAUAUGGUGAUUUUAUUGUUUCUAAAUAAGAUGAAAUGACCAAUGAUAAACUUAUUCACUAUAUAGAAGAAACGAUUGCAAAACAAAAGGAUAUCGGUAUCUUCUAUGAUGCCAAUCGAUGCCUUUAGGAAACUCAUUCGAUAACAGAUUGAGAAAUGAGUACAAUGCUGUAAAAUUUUGGGAGUACAAUCUUUGAGGUUUCACCAAGAAAACUAUAUAAACAGUAUAAGCCUAUAAGGAAACGGAGAGUAUUUUUUCUCAUCUCCCGUAAUCUGUACUCUACAUCUUGCCUAAUUAAUAUCUAAUGAAUUUUCAACUUUAUCAAAAAAAAUUGUAAAAUAAUAUAUAUGAUAUAUCACAUAUUAACAUCUAAAAAUAAAAAUAAAAAUAACUAUCCUGCCCUUAAAAAAAAUAAGAUACCUGCAAUCGCUCGUAAGCUUUUUGUACUGCCACAAAUUUUUCCCUACCUUCAGGAUUUUUGUCAGGAUGAUAUCGCAUGGCAAGUUUCUUGUACUGUCUUUUAAGUUUUUCUUCAUCAAUGUUCUUAAUAUGAUUAGAUUUUUUAGAUGAAUUAUCUUCAGUGUCAUAAGGGUGCAUGCCCCCAACUACAAAAUCAUUCAACGAUAUCUCCAAUAUAUGAAGAGCUUCUUCUUCAGAGAGAUCCAUGGGUCGUCGAGUAAGCUCUUCACGCCACAUAACUAGCAAUGAUUGUAAAAAUUCAACGUGCUCAACAACUGGCCAAUUUGGAAAUCUUAACUCAUCACACAAGUUGCGAAGAUAAUAGCGAUGACACCACAUUUCAUCUCUCAACUGUGGGUAUGUAACUGGAGGCAUAGGGGCAUAUUCAUACAAGGAGUGGCAAUGUUGAGCCAAUUUUUGCGGAAAAUCACCAAGAUGCUGCAAAACCUGAAAGGAAAAGUUGAAAAUAUGAAUAAAUAUUCCAUUUUGAGUUUCGAAAUAUUAUAGAUAUUUGCUGUGAGAAUGUAAGAUUAUCUAACAUUACAAAAUUACAAGAAUGUUUUGCAUGGUAUUUAGGAGAACUUACCUGCAAUCGUAGAUGUUCUUCUCGCAUUUUAUGUGUCCAAAUGAUUUCAGGGGUAUCUGAAUCAGAUAUCAUAGCUGCCGCAAAUGCCGAUGGCCCACUGCGCUCUAGUACAUACAACAAUGAUUCUGGAAGAAGCCCACCAAGGACACUACGCUUGGCCAAAGGCAAUGAAGAUGAAACUGCAGCCUCUUCCCCCCCAUGAAAUGCCUGAUGGACAUGUGUAACGGAGAAAAGAUGUGCAAUGGAGAGGAGAUUUGAUCCAGAAUAUGCUAAGGCAAAGAAAAAUGCACCCGUACUGUACAAUUUAAUCAUGGCCUUGGGGUUUCUAGUAACAAUAGCCUUCAUUAAGGAUGCAGCACUUUCAACAAUGCUAGGCUUGCAGCUGAGCAUUGCCUGCAUAAAAUAUCUAACUCAAAGAAGAUACAAAUAGGUAUUUAAAAAAAAGUAAGACAAGGCUGAAGAACAAACAAUGGAUUUGAUGAAACAACAGAGCUAAUGUAGUACAGGCUUUGUUGUAACAUUAAGAUCGUAGAUGAAAAAUAUAUUCAGUAAAUCACAUUACCAUUUGGCUUGGCAUUCAAAUCUAUAGACAACAUCAAUAUUUCAAUCUCAUUGUAUUUUAUCUAUUUUCUCUGACUCUUUUAGAAGAAUUGUCAAAGGUGCUCCAAAAUAAAUGGACAUCACCUAUUCAAAGGAAUUGAUGUUUCUGUCUCGCAUUAUGACUAAAUUGUUUAUUAUUUAACGAUAGUCAAAACCAAAUUCACAGUUAACUUCUAAACAAUUUUAAUGGUAAAAAUUAAAAAUAACCCCCAAGGAAAUUUGGUAAACACAUGCAUAACUACCAUGAAUACGGACUCCAUAAUGGACUAUGGUGUAACCCAAUUUCUUAAAAAAUAAUAAUUGCCAGUGGACAUUUAAAAGUCGAAUUGGUCAUUAACAUCAAUAUAUCAUUCAUUAUUGUAUUAAAAUUAUAGUUUAAAAUAUAAGCAAUUACAAAAAAGUUAAAAAAUAUUCUCAACUGACUAAUGAGGUUAUAGCUUUAUAAAAAAAUGACAGCGCAGACAGAAAUCUGAAGGUUGAAAUGAUAAAAACUGAAGAUUUAAAAGAAUCACCUGUGCAACAUGUGGAAGGCAACGAGGGCUUGACAGAAUUCGUUUCACUCUUGGUGUUGGAGUUAUAAUCUCGCCGGCAUCAUCGAGAUCUGAAUGUGCUGAGACCAUGUUGUGCAAUAUAGUCAAUGCGGCAUCUCCAAUCUACAUGAAGAAAGUUCUGCCAUUGCUUAAAGAAUAACAAAAAAUAUAUAUGGACAGACCACAGAAAAAUAAGAUAAUUACAUAAAUAUAAAUAUACAAUAAAAACAAAUUAAAAAAAUGGAACGAUAAAUGGUAAUAUUAGUGGAGACAGCCUUGGGAAGAAAACCUUACUGCAUCUGGAGUAAGAACAGGAACACGAAAUGACAGAGUCCAGCGAAGUUCACGGAUAUCACGCAAACGUUUCCAAUCAAGCAUUCCAGAAGCCCAGCAUUUGGUGGUCCAAUCAAUAUUUUUCUUUGAAAAAUGUCUUCUGAUUGCAUCUUUCUCCAUAGGCCCAACUUGCUUGCCAUCAUUAUCAAUGAACGUCCAUUCUUUUAGUGGUUCCAUAAAGGCUGUAGAAGCUAUUAAGUUAGACUGCGAUGGAAUAGUACUUCUUUCUGAAGUUUCAUGACAAACUGUCAGAAGAUCAAUUGCUAGAACACAACCACCAACCAAGAUACAAGCUUCUACAUUUGCAAGAUUCAUCAUUAAAAUCUGCAGGCAGAUAAAGACAAAUCAUAAGGCCAAACUAUUUUUUUGAUAAAGAUAAAUUUCAUUAAAAUGAAAGGAGCCUAGCCCAGAUUACAAAUAUGUAGGGAAUGAGUGUAAACUCGUAGUCACUUUUCUAUAUAGCUCAUUCUAUAGCAUUAAAUAACCAUAGAUUAUUGCAUCAGAAUGUUGGACUCCCAAGAUUUUUGAGCAUCGACUUCAAUCACAGUUUGAUUGGAGUUUUUGAAGGAUGAAGCAUUGAUGAAAAUGCCAGCAUCCCUAAUGGCUUCUUGGUAUAAAAUAUGACAUACCAAACUAAAAUUAUAAAUUUGAUAUAGAUACAACUUAGCUUAAUGAAACUCUUUAACUAGUUAUCAAAGUAAACUCUACUCGAUCAGUCGAUCUUAAAUUAAUAGCCAAGCAGUCUAUCACCUCCCUAAUGAAACAUGGCCGGAAUGACCAGACCAAUGAGGGAUUGAGAGGGACACCAACAUAGCAUGGCUUGAUUGCCAUAUGAGCAAAAAAGAAGUAAGUUAUCCUCCGGUUAGUUCCCCUAUUUAUUGAUGUUUCCUCAAUUAUUCCAAUUGUGACCGAUAGACUAUACAUUCUUCAACCUUUGCUCUCCUCUAUAAAAAGAGAAGAAACAAUGAAAGAAAAUUUAAAUAUAUAAUCACUAUUCACUCACUCCUUCAUACUUCAUCAAUCAUAACAUUUAAUCCUACUUGUAAUCCCCCAAAUCUCCUUCAUUUGUCUGUUGACUUAAGAUAUACCUGGGACGACACACGAGUAUGAUAAAAGUGUAUGUGUUCUUAUCAAAUGGUUGAAGAACAAAAACAAUAAAUUGCAAUUCAAAUUAAAAGUAAAUAUAGCUGGCAUGAAGAUCAUGAAAAAAUCCUAGUUUGGUAUUGUCAUCUGCCUUUUUAACCAAAUAAUAGAACCAUCAAAAACAAUCCAGAAAUAUUUGUGUUGCUCAAUAAUAAGAGAAUAAAAAGGGUUCGAAAAGAUAGCAUAACAGAGAUACAUUGAUAUGUACUUCAUUCUGUGUUUCCUAGUUAAAAAUAUUGGCAGGAUCAUCAUAUUUUGGACGUUUGAUAUAUAUAUAUUUAUUUAUUUAAAUGCUUUCAAGAAAAGAAAUAAAACAUGUUUUAUAAGAGAAACGAUUCACAUUGCAAUAUACUCAUUCAAAUUGCAAAUCAAAUACCUUGAGAAGAAUAAGAAGGCGGUGUCUCAAAGCUCGGUCGUCCGUCCUAUCCAAUAAAACUGUUAUAUGAGCAGUUCCGUCAAAAGGCCCUAUAGUUUUAUAAUGUUGCUCAUACACAAUUGACAUUGCUCUUGCACACAGUUCUCUGACUGAAGCCCCACCACCACCUCCAAAGCCAUCCAACCUCCCCAUAUCACACCAAUCUUCAGAAGAACCCAAUUCAUCAGGUACAACACCAUCAACAGUGAGACCAGUAUCAGCAUCACAUAGAAAACGAUGAUAUAGUGCUCUAAAGAAUGAGACAGGGUCACGAAGUGGGAAAUCCUGUGCCUUACCAAAACUUCUACUCUCAAGCAACAAACGCAAAUAAUACUGACCUACACAAACCUCAUCUGAUAAGCUUUGGUAGUUAACUGAGAACUCGAUGUGAUUCCAUGAUAUUUGUGGUACCGUAUCUUGUCCAGCCACAGUAUUGAUAUCAUCUGAAACAAUGUCGCCACUGCGUUCCUUCUCAACGUCUAAUUUAUGGACUUCUGCAGAUAAUGACUCUCUCAAUUCUCGCCGUGUGCUUUCAUUCCAUAUUAGAUCAGCUCGAUUAUGAUCUAAACCAAAUGCUUUCCAAAAUUCAUGCCAAUUGCAGAGCAGCCUGCCAGAACCAACAGGGGCAUUAUUUUCAAUGAAAAUUUGUGCAGGGGAAGAAAGAUCUGGAUGUAUCGAAGCUUCAAAGUUGACAGAUUCCAGAUGAUUCGAAUCUGCUAGAUAUGACAAACUAUUUCCAACUGUCGUGCUUGUGGUAUCAGUAUGCAAACCAGAUACAUGUGAGUGCUCGUGUAUCGUAUUUAUACCUGGUGAAGAAAAAUGGGAAGUUGGAACCUGACCAGAACCAGAUUCUCUGAUAUUGUUUUGAUCGGUUCCAAAAAUGCUGUUGGUGCUAGCGCCUCUCUGAUUUGUGAGAGCGGAAGCUUCUAGACUUACAUGGGAUGGUAUACGCUCAUGAGAUAAUGACCCUUUUUGACCCUUCCUUUGAUGGAGAUUUUGUUCAUGUCUACUACUAUUUAAUCGUGCUUCUAUACCAGACUGGUUUUGGUUUUGUUCAUAUGAACCCUCUUCGGAACGAGUAUGCAAAUAAGCAACAAGACCAGGAGGAAGAACUCGCGAUAAUAAAUCCAUAGCUGGUUGAUAUGAAUCAGCCCAAAGAGCUACAAGUUGCCUACUGAUAUCCCUUCUCUCACAAAAAGGAAGAGAAAAUGCUUCUACUAAGCAUCUCAAGAGAGCACCAUCUCUGAGGGAAGCAUCACGCAUAGAUUCUGCUGCAAUUGCAUCUUCUUCCGCAAUAGUACGCAUAAUAACUGAAACAGUUUCUCCCACACUUUUAGCGGGAUGUCCAAACAGUGCAAAUAAACGGCGGCGUAAACCAGCCACUUGCCGCAAUAAUUCUACAAAUGUAGUAUGCUGAGUUGUUUCGCCAUAGGGUUCACAAAGCAUAGCUUCGAGAACUUCAACAAUUGACAUUGAAAGCAAUGGAGACACAGACAUAGGUCUCAAUCUGCUAACUAAAAUCGUUGCAUAAAUUGAAUGUGCAAAUAACACAGAUUUUGUAUGCAUGAUUGAAGCAUGGCGUUCUCCUUUUGAAUCUGUUAAAACACUACUAUCUCCUGGAUCACUACCAAUAAGCAUUGCAAUAAGGCCAGCAGCUUCAGCUGCUAUGCCUUCAGAGCCAUUUCUCAAAAGCCCCAUUAUUCUCCCAACUGCGGCAGGAAAUGACAUCACAUGUGAAGCUGCACUCCUAGAGGAAAGUAACCUACGUAAGCAUGCAACAAAGCCCAUAAUUGUUGCAGCUGCCUUUGGAGAUGGAGAUGGUGGAGGAGGUGCCUCUGGAGGAAGGUCUGGGGUUGCUGGAAGCAUUGUAAUCAAGGCCAUUAAAAUUACUUCAGGUACAUCGGUGUUAGAUGGUACUCCACUAUAAGGAAUGCAUGCAUUAAAUUCUCUUAUUCUGCGCCACAGUUUUGCUUUUGAUCCAGGGACAGAACCCCCCUCGGUGACAGCAUCUUUGGCAGAGGAAGCAAGAUGUUUCAGAUGCAUAGACACAAUUUCAAAAUCAACUGUAGGUGACUGCUGCACAGGGAAAUUUUGUUGGAGAUAGUAAGCUCUUCCACAAGGAGGAUCUACAAAAUGUCCAGGCAUAGUCAGCCUUGGCAAUACAGGAACUGGACACUGGCACUGCAUUGAUUACAUAGAAAAAUGAGACAUCACUGAUAGAAUAAAUGAUCGGUAAAUUGCAUCUACAUAAUAAUAUUAGCAAAUCUACCUACUUCUGUCUGCAAUACAUCACGAAUAGCAGCAAGCAGGCUAUUACGGGAGGUACUAGCGUAAAUCUGUUGAGAUAGAAUGUGAAAACAUGAAGAAGAAAAAACAUUAUGAACGUGAUAUUUUCAAUGUAUUUGUCAUUUACAGAAAAUCAAACAGACAAAUACUAACGUGGAUAUGGCAACCAUCAUUAAAUUCAAUAGCAAACAUCUGUGGCUCUUCUGCAAAACGAACAAGAGAACUUACUGCAGAUAGUGGUCGAACAAUGACGACCUGAUAAUAAAGAAAGCAUAGCCCGUUCAAAAAUCUAUAUUUUUUUGAAGCAGUUAAACAUAUUCAUUAAUAAAUGAAGGAUAGUGCUCUAGUAAUAUGGAGAAAAUAAGAUAAAAACAGGGAAAUGGGUUAGUGGCCUAUUGAAACCUUUCGAUUAGCUAUAUAAUCUAGUAGUAUAGUAACUAGAUACGUUGCUUCAGGAGGUUGAUCUCUCACAUUUGGAGUUUUUGGACUAUAGUAAUCUCCAAUAAAUGACAACAGCACGGCUCUUAUGAUACUCUGGCCUGAACGAGAGACUGAUAUCUUUGAUGACUUCAUUUCAAGAAAUUUAUAUUAUUCUAAACCUAUUAGAAAUUAUUUCAAGAAAUGGAGACUCAUCUAAGUUCGACGUUGAUAUUUUGAGGAAAAUUAUUAUUAAUUAUUAUUAAUAUUUUGAACAAAAUAAUUAUUAGUUACAAGAUAGAACAAUGGCAAUGUGUAUAUUGUAAUAAGAAAAAAUACAUUACAUAAAAAAAUGUCGAAUUUGUAAACACUAGAAGAUCAUUUUAACACAUUUUUAUUAACUUUUGCUAUGCUGUUGUGGUAUAGACAAAAGAUACAGAACUUUUGCUAUGCUUAUAAAACUCCAAAGAUGGUGAUGGAUUGAAAAAAAUAAAAUGAUGGUAGUUGCUAUAUAUUUGCCUUAGGCUAUAUGGAUUUUCAAUUGUUUCAGAAAAAAUCAUGAUUCUACGUAAUAAAAAACUACUUAUUGAAGAAUGAAGACGUAGACUACUAGACUUACUAGAUUCUGGAAUUUUGAAAACUGUUUUUUUAUGAUAGGUUCUGGAAACCAUAAGAGUCCAUAGAUUUGAGUCAUUUGAUAUUUUCUUGGGAAUGCCUCCUAUGUCUGUCAAUUUGUAAAUUACUAGAAUAAUGUCUCACUUUGUAAUAACAUAUUGGUCAUAUGGCUAUAAAUCAUUCUCUCAUAAAUAUCUAUAAUGGAAUGAUAGUUUCAGACAUUAGGUGUUUCAGGUGGAGAAUUAAGAUUGAAAUUUUAUUGGGUGACACUAAAAAGACUUUCAAAUCUCUGAACACUGAGGACUUAUGGAUGUAUAUCUUAGAUACCUACCUCAUAAUUCUCUGGACGUCUUUCAAUAAGUGAAGUCUUUGUCAAAAUAAGCUGGCGAGAUACAGAAUCACCAUGCUCUCCAAGUCCUCCCUUUGAUCCAAUUCCCAAACUCAACCCAAGAACCCUAGCAGUUCCAUGACCAGCAGACCUCAACUUUGUGACUGACCACUCAGAGCCCUCCUUAUAUGGGGUAUCUUCUGCUCCAAGAGCUUGUUUUGCUGUAAUUUCAUAAUUAUUUAAUGUAAUAUUUAUUGUUAAUUUGUGAAUCAGAAAGAAAAGCAUUAUGUGUUAAGACAAAUGGUCAUCCAUAGUUUGAUUUACUUAUGAUUAUAGAAAAACAAAGAUAUUAGAUAUGUAUACAUCAAAUUUCCCAAGACAUCACUGCUUUAAAGUUUCUUAUAAAUGAUUCUAAUCAUGUUAGCUAAUAUUGCAUAAGGAAAAAAAAUGUAAACAAAAUAUGAAAAUAAUACAAGCCAACUUCUUGAAAAGCGAUUUAAGAUAUGAACCUUUGUAUUCUACAAGCUUUUUCAGGCGGCCAGGCGACCAGGCGAUGCCUGGGGUCGCAUAUCGCAUAUGCGAGCGCCUGGUCACAUGUGCUACCCAAUAUGCGACAUUUAUUUGUAUUUUCUAUAUUUUAAAUAAAUCCCUGAUAUUAUAAGUCAUAAUAAAAAUCAUAAUUAAAAUAAUAUAGUGAUUAAUGAUACUUAAACUCUUAAAAUCUGAAAAACUUAAAGAAACAUUCAAAACAACAAGAGUAUUAGUUUCAAACAUCAAAGUAAAAGUGUAAUUCAAACACUUAGUUCUAAGUUCUAACUUCUAAUUAAGUGUGUCGUCAAUUAAUAUUAUUCAUUUAAGUUGUUUGAAUAAUAUUAUUAUAAAAUGGGUCCUUAAGUUGUUAUAAAAUAAUAUUAUUCAUUUAAUCAUUUCAAUUUUUUAAUUUUUACUUGGGUAAAUGGGUCGGGUUAAGCCGGAUCCGACCCGGAUCCGGCUAAGCCCCAUAAAUAUGCGACCCCCCAAAUAUGCGAUGGGGGGAUUGCGCCUGGUCGCAUAUGCGACAAAUCAAAAACCUUGGUAUUCUAUGAUGAGUUUUGGCACUUAACAUAAAUCGACCAAGUUCAAAAGCAAUCAAAAUAACAAAUGUACAGAGCAAAAGUCCCAUGGAACAAUGAAAGGGAAUUAUCAUGUGGGAAUUUCAAAAGUAAAGAAAGAAGAAUUGUUACAUUGACAACUCUCUGAAGAAAACUUGAUGUCAAGACUUAUUGUUAUGUACGACUGUACAUAGUACGUACAUUAAUGCACAUAUGGUAAUAGAGAAAGAUAACCCAAAAUAUAAUCUGUAAUUCUGUAUGAGAAAGAAAUUGACAUAAAAAAAUGCUUGAGAUGGAACCAUAUAUCGAAUUAUCUAUCCAUGAACCACGUAGUGAAUUCCAAUUUCCAAUGACAGAAGUGUAAGAUGAAGAAGCCCAUUCAAAUUUCAAUGCUCACCUCUUUGCUUGAUAUAUGCCGCCACAGUUAAAGAUUGGGAACUAUCAAUCGACAUGAACAUGCCCAGCAUUGUUUUUGCAGUUUUAGACUGCAUACAAUAUUCAAGUAUGAUUUAGUAAUAACAAAAGAUCAUCUCUGAUACAAUGCAACGAAUAGAAGAUAAACAGUUUUACAGAGAAAUUAGAUUAUUCGAUUAAGCUUUAGUCCAUUAUUCGACAAAAUGACGAAUUUUCAUUAUUUAUGUAAUAAGGCUCUAAAACUAUGGUGAUUGAACAUACCAAGCAUGAUAUAAUUGCCUUAUCAGAGUUUCCUGAUGUUGCCAUAAAAGCCUUAGAUUUUCUACCGUAAAGAGGGCAAAGAACAAAUCCAGCAUGGUCUGAAUUUUUAGUUCCAAAAGUGGAAGCAAGAAGUAUAAUAGCUGGGGAGUCCAUGUCUCUAAAAUCCAAGCACCACCGCAAGUCAUUAGAUCGUCCUUCAAGAAGUUCAACUCCGACUGCAGUAACUCUCAGCUUCUGCAAAAUGCAAAAUAUAAGGUUUCUUACUUUGAUUAAUAGGAAUAUGAUGAAACUAAUGAAGAUUUUUCAGAUUCUUGUGCAUAUACUGAAAAUAGUGCCGAGAAUUAAGCAAUGAGAUAAGAAUUGACAAUCAGAUACGUACAUAAGGGAUCCACUCUGACGUCCUCCGCCUAAGAUGUAAGACAGAAAACUCUGCAAUAGGUGUCAUCUUACUCCACUUGAUCCGAUGCAACUCCGUCAGAAUACUUGUCUGGAACAUGGAGGAGAACCUAAUUCCCCUGUACUUGGAACGGCUAUCAGUGCGAGCAGUAAUAGUAAAUUCAUUUGACAAUUCAUCUCGUCCCAACACAGGAGCCGCCCCAUCAAAAUCGCUAGACUCAUAGGCAUUAGUCACAGAAAGUGUGUUUGGGUCCAAUGUGAUGAUAGAUGAUUCAGAGAUGCAGAGAAUUCUCUUGUAUCGUCCCCUCCAUGAGUGCUUAACAACAAGAUACCUCGCGAUAUACUCCUGCUCCUCAAAAGAAGUCUGUUGAGACAUAUCGUUCUGCAGAGAAGGAUCGUGCUGUUCGUAGGCAGAUCGAGGUAGCUUCCGAUUGAAGAAAAAAGACCAGCUACCUAAAUCUACCUCACCUUUAGCCGAUCCUCGACGGCUCUGGUUCCCACCCAGGGCUUCCUCUUUUUGCAGCCAAUCGCCGCCGAAGUGAGAUCGGUUUCCUACUUUAUAGUGUUCCGUAUGAUACAAUUCGCAUCGAGAUUCGAUUAUCACGAUCGACCAGGGUGACAAUCAGAAUUCUCCUUCGAAAACCCUAGUUUUUCUAAUGUGCUGACGACGAAGAUGGACGAAGUUGUGGUUGGGGGGUGAUAUCUACUUGAUAGACGUGCUUGGUAACCUUGGUUUAGUUAGUUAGGCUCAAGGCUCAAGUAGUUAAUAUUCGAUAAUCAUUAAUCAAAUUUUUUUUAUUUUUUUAUUUUUUUAUUUUUAUUUUUUUGAGUUACAACUAUCUGGUAAUAUAUAAAUUUUAAAACAAAAAAAAAGGAGUGAUCACAUGUCACCUCACGUCCUCUGCAUUGAUCCAACCACUUGAUAUUACGAUUGUUUGGCCUUCAGCAACCUUUGGGGACUAACUCGAUGUUUCCUAAAACGAACAAUGCUUCAUCGUUCUUACGUAGUUGGCCUAGGACGAUAGGGAGUGUAAAACACUGGUGUGCUUCAGACAUCUUUUCCUCUUCCAAUCAUUAAUCAAAUUACUAUUUAGAUACUUGGCAAUCAACAAGGACUCAAGGAACCGGUCCUUAAGGUUAAAAUAUUAAUGAAGCUAGUCCUCCAAGUUUUUAAAAUAAAAUAUAAAAUCCAUGGAUUUCUUGGACUCCAUGGUCUGGGGUGUUGUCUUACUGAAUCUGAUAACUAUUUACACAAACAGAUUAACUCAACUGGUCACGAUAACUAUUAAGGUUGUAAAGAAUUCGAGGUUCUAAUCUCACUAAGUAAUUUUUAUUUAAUUUUUACUAUGAUAUAAUCGAUGAUAUAUUAUGUGGUUUUGGUAUAUCACUCAGAGAUAAGUUUUCAUGUGUUGUUUUACAUGAUGUUAUUUCCGUGUGGUUGCUCUCCAUGUUGAACCUACGUCUCUGACUUCACCUAUCUCCCCAAUUUUAGACACAUCCACACCAAGACCUUGUGCCUUUUAUCUUCAACUCCGGAUUAAGAAGCAUAAGAAGAUUGACAUAGAGGAUCCUGGCACGACACGACAUAGAUUUGUGUUACAAUCAGUUGAACAGUGUUGGCGAGACAGCAACAAGGAAACCUGAUAGGCAUAUCUCGUAAGGAGGAAACUUGUGGGAAAAAGAAGAAAAUGAGAAGAAGAAAAGAGGAAGGGAGAAGGAUCGUUGGUUCCCCCCCCCCUUUCAAGAAAGGAAGGGGAAAGAUCGGAGAAAUGGGUUAGGUUUUGGGUUUCUUUUUUCCCCUCUUUGGUGCUAAGGUUGGAGGGGAAGUGGGCAGAGUUUUAAGAUACAUCAUUGGCAACCAAGGUUUAAAAAUGGAUCCAAAAAAAUAAGACUUUGGAUAAACUAACCCACCCCCACUUAUGUUAUACCAUUGUUCGAAGUUUCAUGGAUCCAACUUCUAUUUAUAGAAAAUUUAUCAAAAAAUUUAGUGUAAUUGCGAGCACAAUCACAGACUGUUUAAAGAAAACAAAAUUCUUAUGAACUGAUAAAGCUGAAAUUAGUUUUAAAGCUUUUAACGAUAAAUUACUGUCAGCUCUAGUACUUGUUUGGCAUAUUUAAAUCUUUGAAGUUGAACGUAAUGCUAACAUUACAUGCCCAGUAGCAUUUCAUGGUGAGAAACUGUCUAAGGGAAGGAGAAACCGGACAACUUAUAAGCAAAAAUUGUUUGUUAUGGUUAGAGCUUGUAAGAUCUGAGAACCUUAAUUCAAAAAGAAUUUGAGAAUUAACUGAUCACUUAGCUCCAAAAUAAAUAAAUGAGACAUCUGAUUCUAAUAGAAUGCACAGUACAUGGUUAAUGGUUUGCAUUUUUACAGAGGUUUGAAUUUUUUAUUAAGCACAGGUUUGAUCUUAACAAUAGUGAGAUUAGAGGUGACAACUUUUGAUUACUUGAAAGAAUUGUAUGGAUUCAAUAAAGAUUUUGAGACAUAUAGAAGCAAUGCAAGAGUAGAAGUUAGACUACAGGUUUUAGAAUUAGGGGUGUAGUCUUACUGAAUCCGAUAACUAUUCACACAAUAACUUAACUGAUCACGAUAACUAUUAAGGUUGUAAAGAAUUCGAAGUUCUAAUCUUACUGUGUAAGUAAUUUUUAUUUAAUUUUCACUACGAUAUAAUCGAUGAUAUAUUAUAUGGUUUUGGUAUAUCACUCAGAGAUAAGUUUCCAUGUGUUGUUUUACAUGAUGUUAUUUCCGUGUGGUUGCUCUCCAUAUUUAACCCACGUCUCCGACGUCACCUAUCUCCCCAAUUUUAGACACAUCCACACCAAGACCUUGUACCUUUUAUCUUCAACUUCGGAUUAAGAAGCGUAAGAAGAUUGACAUGGAGGAUCCUGGCACGGUACGACAUAGAUUUGUGUUACAAUUAAUCGGUUGAACAAUGUUGGCAAGACAGCAACAAGGAAACCUGAUAGGCAUAUCUCGUAAAGAGGAAACUUGUGGGAAAAGGAAGAAAAAAAGGGAAAGGGAGAGGGAGAGGGACCCCCCCCUUUCAAGAGAGGAAUGGGAAAGAUCGGAAAAAUGGGUUAGGUUUUGGGGUUUUUCCCCUCUGUGGUGCUAGGGUUGGAGGGGAAGUGGGCAGAGUUUUAAGAUACAUCAUUGGCAACAAAGGUUUAAAAAUAGAUCCAAAAAAAUAAAACUUUAGAUAAUUGGCCACCCCCCGCUUAUGUUACUAUUGUUCGAAGUUUCAUGGACCUGACUUUUUUUAUAUAAAAGAUUUAUCAAAAAAUUUAGUAUAAUUGCGAGCACAAUCACAGACUGUUUAAAAAAAACAAAAUUCUUAUGAACUGAUAAAGCUGAAAUUAGUUUCAAAGCUCUUAACGAUAAAUUAUUGUCAGCUCCAGUACUUGCUUUAACAGAUUUCAAGUCUUUGAAGUCGAAUGUAAUGCUAACAUUACAGGAGGGGUGUCCGGUAGCAUUUCAUAGUGAAAAACUGUCUAAUGGAAAGAGAAACCGGACAACUUAUAAGCAAAAAUUGUUUAUUAUGAUUAGAGCUUGUAAGAUCUGAAAACCUUAAUUCAAAAAGAAUUUGAGUAUUAACUAAUCACUUAGCUUCAAAAUAAAUAAAUGAGACAUCUGAUUCUAAUAGAAUGCACAGUACAUGGUUAAUGGUUUGCAUUUUUACAGAGGUUUGAAUUUUUUAUUAAGCAAAGUUUGAUCUUAACAAUAUUGAGAUUAGAGGUGAUCACAACUUUUGAUUACUUGAAAGAAUUGUAUGAAUUCGAUCAAUAAAGAUUUUGUAUGAGUAGAAGUUAGACUGUGGGUUUUAGAAUCCAUGAGGAGUUCCUAUUUAAGUACAACAUGUUAUGCAUUCCAUGGGAAGAUGACUUGGGAUUUAUGAAUUAAAUAGUUAAGGGUUACUCAUUCAAUGUUUUAAUCUAUAUUCACGUGAAUUGCAUUUCUAAACACUGGGGUUUAUUGUAAUUUUUCAAUUUCACCAUACAUAUAAUUUUACUAUAAGUAUUUCGCCAUCCCCAAAUCUAUUCUCAAUUUCUUGUCGUCGUUCGACAGAUUCCAACUCUCUCAUGUCUGUAAUCGUAUUUCGCCUCUAAACAACUCGUUGAAUCUCCUUUGGUCUUUGAAAGCGGUGUUCUUCGGUUGCCAAAUUAUUGUUUUUGAAGCGUUUCAACCAUUUAGUGCUAACACUGUCUAGAAGUGGCAUUAUCGCGACAUGCAACUCAAUGAUAGAAUCCAGGUAAAGGUCAUCCGCGCUUGUUAUUUUUUGAUAUUUAAUUUGAUUUUUGAUUAAAUGGAUGGUGUUGUCGAUCGAUUUGUAUCGGGAUUUCAAUUAUAAACCCUAUUUAGGCAUCCAAAAACUUAAUAUGUCUAAUCAUUAAUUGGAUAUUAUGCUGAAUGUGGAAAAAAAGAUAAUAAAUGAUAAAAAUCAUUUACGUCUGAUGAGGGUCGUCCUCAAAAGUGUCGGAUUGGUCGAUCGUCUGACCAAUCGAUGGCCAACCAGAGUAUGACCUUUAAUUUUUACGUAUGUAUGCCUGAUUCAUUAUUCGAAUUCGAUCAGAGUAUAUCUUGCAAUGAUGGUCAGGUAUCUAAAUUUGUUUCUAUUUUUUAUUUAUUUUAGUUUAACAAAGGUGAAGAAAGCAAGUUCCAUCUAAAGAUCAAUUUAUUGGAUCAUGUUAGAUUCAACACUAAAAGAUUGAGAAGUAGGAGAAAACCUAGAACAUCUUUAAUUCGAUUUCUAUAUAAUGUUGGAACCUCUAAUUUCUCUAAUUAUGCUAUUAAUAAAGAGUUUGUUUCCAAUGGAUCAUCAGAGAAAAAGAAGUCUAGUUUAUUUAGUAUCACUCAUGGUGGAGUGUCAAAAUCCUUAGGUAUUUCAAACACCUUUCAACAUCUGCACAAACUUAAAAAGGUGAGUUUUUAAGCAUGUAAGCUUUCCAUUGUUAACCAGUUGGUUUCAAAUAUAAAAGAGGAGCAAAAUUAAGUAUCCCACCUGGAUUUUUCACCUCUACCAUCAAAUCAAUUAACUUAAAUCAGGGUCCUAAAAGUCAGGGGAUUUCAGUGGUUGUAGCUGUAUAUGUUGAUUUUAGUUGGUUGUAUAUAGUAUGUUAGCUAGCAAUUUUCCAUGUAGCUAACAUACCAAGUAUUUAAUUAUGAACAAAUGUAAGUCUUUAGGCAGUUCUUUGUAGACCGAGAGUUAGUAACGUAAGUGGCUGAUUCUUAAUUUUUCUUGAAUACAAUUUACCUGUUAGUUUUCAAAAAUAUAGUUUCAAAUAUAAAAGUGUGUAGUCAUACAAACCAACUAUUAUGGUUUUCGAGGUACGUUAGCACAUAUUUUCAUUAAAUUUUCAUCACGAUAUCUUGUGAAAAUGUGAAUUAUUGCAAUAUCUAGCUAACACAUGCAGUGAAUUUUUAAGGAUGAUCUUGAAGAUGCUAACUCUCCUUCAGAAAAAGACACCAUCAUACAAAAGAAGGAUGACCAUGAAAGGAAAAGCACAAAAGUUGUAAAAAAAAACAUGCUAGACGAACAAUCAGAUGAAGAGGAUGAGGAGGAAGAUGAUGAGAUUCGAUAUCUUAAGAAACUGAAGUUGUCUAAGGUUUUUAUUAGAGAGACAAUAGAUUCUGAAGUGGAUCGUCAUAAAACUAUACUUGAUAAGGAAACUACACCUGAUAAGAAAAAUCCGACUACCAUCAAUAAAAAGAAAAAAUCUAGAUACGAAGAUGAUGAUGACUUCCAUUUGUCAUAUGGAUUGAAGGAUACAAAGAAUGGUGAAUUUUCAAUGAAGGAGAUGUCUAUUACAACUCGUCAACGAGCCCUCCAAAUUUCUAAAGAUGGUAAUAGUGGAAAUCAAAAAAGCUCGAUUGAAUUCCCUAAUGGUCUGCCUUUGGCACCCUCUAGAAGUAAGUAUCACUAACUCGAUCUAUUAGAAAUACAUAAUUAAAUACAUAAUGAUUCAAUUAAUCCAUCGAUAGGGAAAAGGUCCCAGCUUUCUGAAGCUGAACAAAAAUUGAAAAAAACUGAAGCUGCCAAGAAACGUCAAAUAAAAUUAGAGAAUGCUUCUAAGGAAUUGGAGGUAAGAAUUUUUCAUGUUUUUUUAUCCUUUAUGAAAUAAAAAAUGAUGAAAAAACUCAUGUAUGUUUUCAAAUUGAUCUCACUAUGUAUAUUUUUAUUACGAUUUACCUGAUCAUAUAUUAAUUGACUCUUCGUUAUCAAAAAGAAAAAUAAAAAUUAAUAAAAACUUAUUUGCAGGUUGAGACUAUCAAAAAAAUAUUGAGAGGUUCAGAAUCGAGUAAGAAAAGGCGUGAAGCAAAGUUUCAAAAUCUGCGUCAGAAGAUGGCAGAGGUAUCUAAUUUUUUUUUGUAAUUUCUCUCAAUAUAUUUCUUCAUGUCACUACUCAAUAUAUGGAUGGUAAAGAUAGAACUCUGAGUCAUUUAGAAUUAGGUCAAAUAUUAAUGGGAUGACCAAUCCCCAAAGGUUGCGAAGAUCAAAUAGAUCAUAAAAUCAACUGAUCGGAUCAAUGCGAAGAGUGUAGGGUAAGCCGCAUGUGACACUAGCUACCUUUUUUUUUGUUUUAAAAUUAAUAUAAUUGUCAAGUGCUUUUAUCUCAAAAAAAAAAAGGAUAAGAAGAUGACCCUAUUUCUUUUUCAUUAUUUAUUUUUUUUGUCCAGGAAAGGAUUGAAAGAUACAAAACAGUUCCAUCUAAUAUGGUCAGAUAUUUAUCUGGACCAUCUGGUACAACUUUAAUAUUCUCUGAUGAUGUUGAUCUCUCAAGCAUAUUCAACUCAAAACCAUGCAGGUUAAUUAUUAUUUCAAUUAUAUAUGUUUUGUUUACAUUUAAUUAUGUUUUGAAAACAUAAUAUGCAUGAAUCUUAUUCAACUCUAUAGUAAUGUGCGUCCUCGAGAGAAAUGUGCCGGUCCAUCCUGCACCAAUCCUUACAAAUACAGGGAUUCAAUAUCGAAGCUUCCAUUAUGCAGUCUACAAUGCUACAAAGCAAUUCAACCUGAUACAUUUCAAGUGACUAAAUGAUCAUGGUUGUUCAUUUUUUACUUUUAAUCUCGAGAUUGAUCUGAACCUCGAGAUAUAUUCUAGAUUUAUAAUAAAUAAAAGAAAACAAUAGAUUAUCGAUAGAUCAAAUUUAAACGGUGAGGUAAAAAUAUUCUACAAGAUAUCUCUUCUUCAUGAAAAAAGAUUUAUUUAUAUUUCUUGUAUUUUUUGAAAUGAUCCUAAAAUGCAUGUGUAGCAUUUAUAUUUCAAUGACCAUAUUCAAAUUUUCUUCAUGACCAUUUUGUGAUGUGAAUUGGGCUAGAGAGUAGAGACUCAUCGGACCGGCGAAGUUAAGCUAGAUUCAUAAUUUACAUGGAACAUCCCUCGACUUUUUGGUGUGAUAAAAUAGGAACUACUGUUUAUGCGUUUAACUCUACAUUUCAUUCGAAGAUGAAACAUGUGGGCACGACAUCAAUUUGUGUUAUGAUCAGUUGAAUGGCGUUGGCGAGACGGAAACAAAGAACCUGUAACGACAGAUCUUGCAAGGAAAGGAACCUGUGGAAAAAGAACAAAGAAAGAAAGGAAGAAGGAAAAAAAGGAAGGGAGGAGGAGAGAUGAGGGUGAGAGGAAGGGGGGAAAGGAUCGUUGUCUCCCCCCUCAAGAGAGGAGAGGGGGGCGAAGCCGAAGGUCAGAGGUUUCUUCCUAGAUCUAGGGUUUUGGAGAUAGGUUUCUUUAGAUAGAGGGAGAAGGAAUGUCGACAUCUUAACUAAGGUACUCCAGUCGAAGCAGUUCAACAAUCUAAGAUACAAAAUUGUCGAUGAUCGAAGAACGAAAAUCUUGAGGAGACGUAUUAAUAUUCCUUGUCCCGUCUCCGCACCCGCUCACUCCUAGUCUACUCUCAUAUUAUAUAUGGCCGUAGGAUCAGGUGUGGUCAGACGCCCACCUGAUGCAUGAUUGAUGGUCAAAGAUAAAUCUAAUUAAUGGUCCACACAAAAAAUGAAUAAAAACAAAAUAUCAAGAUCAUGACCCACAGAAAAUGGAUCUCACGGUCCAGAUUUUUUGUACGCCGCCGCACUAGAGAAGAUGUUUUUUCAUAAUUAAAAUUCACACUGAAAAAUCCAUUGAGAUUGUCUUUUUUUGUAUUUAUACUAUUCCUAACAUAUAUCUCCAGAUAAAUCGUAAUGAAAAUUAGAUGUGACAAUAACAGACACGAUUCGUAAAAAAAUAUGGCACGACACAAUUUUAACACGACACGUUCAUAAUAGUGUCGGGUUAGUUUCUAAAAUUUUGAUAUGAUUAAUAAUAGUAUCGUUUUAGUGUUUGUCUUUGAAAACACGACACGACACGACACGAUUAUACGAAACGUAAGUUGACACGAUACGAUUAUAUGACAAGAAUAUCUAUGUAUCCAUAAAAUAAUAAGGGUAAAAUAAUAUGAGUAAAAUAGUAAGGGUAAAAUAAUAAAAUGUACCCUUAUAUAAUUAUUAUCAUUAAAAUAAUAAUUUUUUUUACACGGAUCGUGUUCGUGUCGAUGAAAAAAUUAGUCGUAUCAGUUGUGUUCGUGUCGAUAAAAAAAAUUAGUCGGAUCAGUCGUGUUCGAUGAAAAAAUUAGUGGUGUUUGUAUAGUGUCAUGCCUAAUGAAAAUAUACAUAUUGAUACUCAACAUUAAACUGAGAACCUUUAAUAUUUACUGUAAUUUCCGAUCAUACCAAAGUAACAUAAAUGUUGUUUUUAUGGAUUUUGAAUUUUGGAUUUGAUUAUUCAGAACGCUUGGCGAACCUUUCAACCUUGUCGUCGUUGAGAUUGAUUCCGACCAUGGCCUCACCAAGACCGCUGCUGACAUCAGCAAGUAUAUUUGGAUCUUUGUAGUGAGUGACAGCCUGAACGAUGGCACGAGCACGACGGGCGGGGUCACCACUCUUGAAGAUUCCGGAGCCAACGAAGACACCGUCGCAACCGAGCUGCAUCAUGAGGGCAGCGUCGGCGGGAGUGGCCACGCCUCCGGCAGCGAAUUGAACGACGGGGAGUCUUCCAAGCAAUUUGGUCUGCAUGACGAGUUCAUAAGGAGCAGCGAUUUCCUUAGCAAAAACGAAAACCUCAUCAUCAUCCAUAUUGUUCAAACGUCUUAUUUCACCCAUCACCGAUCGAAUAUGUCGGACGGCCUCGACCACGUUUCCGGUCCCCGCCUCACCUUUGGUACGUAUCAUCGCCGCGCCUUCUCGGAUACGACGGAGAGCUUCGCCGAGGUUACGACAUCCACACACGAAAGGAACGUUGAAGUUAUGCUUGUUGAUAUGGUUGUCUUCAUCGGCGGGAGUGAGUACUUCGCUCUCAUCGACGUAGUCGACUCCGAUGAACUCUAGGAUUUGAGAUUCAACGAAGUGACCGAUACGAGCUUUAGCCAUCACUGGUAUUGUGACGGCUUGUUUGAUCUCUUUAAUCAAACCAGGGUCACUCAUACGUGCCACGCCUCCUUGUGCUCGGAUAUCAGCCGGUACUCGUUCCAACGCCAUGACGGCACAUGCACCGGCCUCCUCCGCAAUGACGGCUUGCUCCACGUUGACGACGUCCAUGAUCACGCCACCUCUUAGCAUCUGUGCGAGCCCCACUUUCACGGAGAAAGUCGACGACUUCUUCGUCGUCUCUACCAUCGUCGAUGUUCCAUUUUCGUAUAAAGCCACCACUUCGCCGCCGCCGCCAAUGUUUCCAACUCCCGACAUGUUUGAAAACUGAAUCGAAAGAGUUGUGAGAAAAACUCACAUGAAGGAUAAGAUAUAUAAAGAAUGAGAACCUACAUCACUUGACUCCACGCUUUGGUGGCAAAAUGGUAAAUUGAUAAUUUAAUUGAUCUUAUUAUCAUAAAAUAAAAUUAACGGAUAAUAUUUUCAUUGGAUCAAAAACAAGCUAUACGUUCAUGGGAGUCCAACCUCUUAAGACUUUUCAGUCUUUGACUAAUUAGUUAGGGUCAUAGCUGUAUAAGAGACAGAUAAUAUUUUAACAUUUACUGUACUUGUAUUUUCCUAUAUUCUGUAAUCUUGGAUUAUACCCAACCAUUUUUCAGGAAUGAAAAUUUAAUUUCUUAAAAAAAAUUUCAUUCUUUAUAUCACAGUGAAAAUUUACAAGACCUGAACUUUAAACUCUUAAAUAAUUUUAAUAAUUACUGUGACCAGUUAAAUUAAUCUUUUUGUCUGAUAAAUUUCGAAUUUAGCUGAGUUAAUGCGUGUGGUCGACAAAAUUAUGAUCGUGGACACCAGUAUUAUCUAUCAUAUCUAGUCUGGGUGUUUGUUUCCCUUCCUCAUAUUUCUGAUUGUUUGAAUCUGAUAUGUGAUUGAAUUGUAAGGCCAAGAAAUGAAACAAAAAUUGAACCUUUCAUUCAUAAUAACCUUCCUUAAUCUCAAGUUUAAGUAAUUAAGUUGUUUUAACAAGUAAUUUUUGCGACCACCCAAUAUGAUCGCUUAUAGUCGAAAGUUGAUCACAAAACAAGUAUAUUUGAGCAUGAGAAAAAUGUUUCCUGAAGUUAUCUUGUGUUUGUUGUUCUAGGGAACACGUUCUAUUAUCCAAUUUUUACCCUUUUUCUUGGAGAGACAGCAGGUCAAACGUUGACAAUUGUCGACUGUGUGGACGGUUACUUCUGGGUAAGUCGGCGACUCUAGCUACCUGGAUUCAUCGAACCCAUACGACUCAUUCUAAUCUUGGUUGACCCUUUUAUAGAAUUUAGAUUAGGCAUGUCAAUGGAUAUCUGAAAUUCGUAUUCGAAAUCAAAUUCGUUUAGGAUUAAUCGAAUUCAGAAACGAAUUCGGAUACUUAAAAUACUGUCCGAAACUAAACGAAUUCGGAUAAUUAUACAAAUAUAUAAUAAUUUUAUAAUUUUUACCUUUUCUAAUUCAAUAUAAUCUAUAUUAAUUGUGAUUAGGGUGUCAAGUAAAGUUCGGCUCGUUAAGCUUGAUGGGUUCGGUAAGAGGAGUAGUAUAAAACUAAAAAAAUAUUAUAUUUAGAGAGAAUGAUGAUGUAGCUCAGAUGGUAGAACGUUUGCUUCAAUUUCGAACCAGAGCCUGACAAUUCUUUAACGAGCCAAGUCCGAGCUCGACCAAACCAGGCUCGGUGAGCCCGAGCCUAGAUAACUCCGUAACGAGCCGAGUCCGAGCCUGACUCUAUAAGCAAAAACUCGACUAGUUUGACACCUUAAUUGUGAUGAAUUUAUAUGUUAAAAUGUUAUGUUUAAAAUAUUUCAGGUUUUUUUUUAAUAAAUAUUAUUCGAAUCAGAUAUAAAUAUGGAUCCGGAAUUUUAAAUUCGAAUAAUAAUAAGACUAAUUCGGAUCGGUCAUUCGAUUUCAUUCAGUUAUUAAAUCGAAUUCGGUAGGUAGAGACAGAAUUUGUCUAGACCUAAUUUACAUGUAAAUGGGGCCCAGAGGCAGCAGUAGCGAAUUUGGGUCUGGUUGGCCCAGCCAUAUAAGAAGAAAAAGGUGAUUUUUUUUAAUAAUUAAAGUAAUUUGUGUUGAUUUUGAGGAGUUGAUGGUAAUUUUAUUACCUGAAGUUUCAUUUGUCUAGGGCGGCGAGUCACCGAUAAAAGGUCACAUUUUUGCAGUUUGGGGGAGGGAGAAGGUGAAUAGAUCAGAUCGGGAAUUGAGAAGAGAGAAGAAGAAUCGCGAAAUCGGGAGCAAUGGCUGUUUCAUGGAAUAGUCGUCUGUUAUUAUCCAUGUUCCUCGUAUUCUCUAUUUUCGCAGUCAUCCAGGUAUGGAUUUUGGUAUGCAUCCACGGAUUUUCCGUUUUCUUUUGUUCCUCGUGGAUCGAUCUGUAGAUCUGUUAUUCGAUUUUCAGUUAUUGAUGAGAAAUUGAAUGAAAAAUCUGUAAUGAUAGGAGGUCAGCUAUAAAAUCUACAAUCAUGUGUAAUGCUAGUAGUAGAUCUUUUGUUCAGUUUAAUUGAAGUAGUCGGGUAUUGAUGAAAAUUAUUUGCUGGUAAUUGAUCGAUCGAUGAGUUGUUCUAUCUGGAUCGAUUUGCGAUAAAUUAAGCACAACUAUCUACUUCAUUAGAUUCCACAUUUGAUUUUGUAGUUUUGAUCUUGACCUUUGAGUUUGCUGUUUUUUUGCGUCUAUUUCAAAUGGGUAUCUAAGUGUACCCAUUUGCCGGACUGUUUUAUUUAAUUUCUCUGUUAUGCAUGAUUAAGUGCAUGCUCUAAUGUAGACCAGAAAUACCUGGGGUUCAUGUGGGGCUUGUAUGGUGUCAAAUUUUCUGCUGAAAAUUCAUGUUUGUUUCUUAGGCCAAACCGUCCAAGGACUUGAAAGCGGUGACACACAAGGUUUUCUUUGACAUCGAGAUUGAUGGAAAACCGGCUGGUAAGAAUGGCAGUAUUUAUGUUUUCUUCUAAGUAAACAAUGUUACUUCUUUUCCAACCAAUUACUGAGAUAUAAUAUGAAGGUGAUCAUUGCGACUAAACCCUUUUACCAAUCACUGAUGCUAAAAUCUAAAAUGACCAUGUUACUCUCGUUUAAGUAAUAGAGAAGUUGCUAUUCAUAUGGUAAAUGUCAUGAUAGAGUAGCUGUAAUUGAUUACAUUGCUCUGAUGGAAAUCAGAGAAUGCCAGUUUAUCUUUUAUCUUGCAAGUUUACCAUUAUACAAUAUCUAAAAUUUCCUAUGAAAAGAGUUUAGUAUUAUAUUCAUUAUGAAUCUGACGGGAUUUCAUUUUUCAUUUUAAAUCACACCUGUGUAUUUUAGUUUAAAUAAAAAUAGUCUAAUACAUGAGCUAGCUAUUUUUAUGUCUGUUUUUUCUAAUAAACAUCUUUACCUUUUUUACUCUACUUGUUAUUCGUUAAAUAAACUACGAAAUAAAAAACUAUCAUUUGCUUUCUUGCAGGUCGUGUCGUUAUGGGCCUUUUCGGGAAAGCUGUGCCUAAAACUGCAGGUACAACAAUUCAGUUGGAUACCAUUAUUACCAUAUACUAUGAUUUAUGCUUUCUUGUUUUUUCUAUCAAUCUAUUAUAUCUUAUAAUAUUAUUUUCUAUGGUGUUAAAUUUGUCUAUCUAAACAUUGUUUCUCUUUGCCCUGCAGAAAAUUUUCGAGCACUUUGCACAGGUAUGCAAUGAUUAAUGUCCUCUGCAAUGCAAUAUUUUUUGUUUUGUUUUGAUAGUUAAAAUUUCAUCAAGUACUAGAAUGAGCCAAACCCAGAUACAAAGAUAUGGGAGAUUGCAAGAGCUUAUCCUCUAUUUCCUUAUACAGUAAUGCCAGCAACAUUAUGCCUCAAGGCAUUAGACUCCCAAUCAAUCCGAGCAUUAAUUUCAAUCUGGAUUUGUUUGGCAUUUUUUAAUGGCCGAGAUUUAAAGAAGCAGCACAUGUCUCUACAAUCUUGUUAAUUAUCGUUUCAUGUGCUUUUUUUAAUUGAAGCAUAUUACUGUUGAUAUCAGUAACUUACAGAAUCAUUUAACUAAAAUUUAUAGUCAAACAGAUAAUUGGGCUUCUUACAGUCUUACUAUUAUUAACGGUCUUACUUGUAAUUUAUAGUUAUUGUACAAAGAGCCAAAAUAGUCAGAUAUUCUUGUCAUUUCUUACAGUAAAUUAGCAAUAAAAUAGAGAAAUCUUCAAAGAAUAUGUGAACUAUAUAGUCUAAUAUUUUUAUGUUUUCUUCAACAGGAGAAAAGGGUAUGGGGAAAAGUGGGAAACCUCUCCAUUACAAGGGGAGUUCUUUCCACAGAAUCAUACCAAGCUUUAUGAUCCAAGGUGGUGAUUUUACCUUGGGAGAUGGUAGAGGAGGUGAGUCUAUCUACGGCACUAAAUUCGCUGAUGAGAACUUCAAGCUCAAGCACACAGGACCAGGUAACCACAUUAUACAAAUAAGAAUUGUUUAACAUGUAAUUCCAAUAUGCAAAUGAAUUAGAAAACUUGAUUUGUUUUUCAUUUUGCAGGACUUAUGUCAAUGGCCAAUGCUGGCCCCAAUACAAAUGGCUCCCAGUUCUUUAUCACAACUGUCACAACUAGCUGGUAUUUGACAUUGACAUACCACACAUGAUAUAUUGUCGUCUCUUUGUACUAAAGCUUAUUUGUGAAAUUAUAGGUUGGAUGGAAAGCAUGUUGUCUUUGGUAAGGUGGUGUCCGGAAUGGAUGUUAUCUACAAAGUUGAAGCAGAAGGCCGCCAAAAUGGUACUCCAAAAACCAAAGUUGUCGUUGCUGACAGCGGCGAAUUGCCUCUUUGAUUUAAAUUCCCUUCUAUUUAUCCGUCUUCGGCGAGCUGUCUUUUUUAUAUAAAUUUCCUUCUAUUUAUCUGCGUCUUCGAUUGAAAUAGAUCCAACAUUUCCUUUUCAAGGGCAUUGUUGUUCGAAUUUUUGUCUAGAAAUCUACAUAAUGUAGUCUCAUAUGAAUAUGAUCAGAUCAGAAUAUCAGAUUAUCAUACAUGCUUAUUUAUUAUAUCCUUUUAUGAUUUUCUCUUUACAUCCAAAUAUCCAAUGCAUUAUGAAUUUAUGAUCUACAUCAUAAACAAUCCAAUCCAGAUCCCCAGCUCAUAUGAGUCAUAUCACAUGCUUAUCACAUGAUUUUUGUCUUUUUAUACAUAGGGAGGUUGAUUCAACUGUUUAUAAUAAUUUUUAAAAUUGUUUCGCAGUCAUUACGAUUUACUGAUGAUAUAUUAUGUAAUUUUGGUAUAUCAUUCAAAGGUAGACAUUUUUAUUUGCAGGAAGAUACUUCAGUUAUAAAAAAACGUCAUCUUGCAUAAAAAGAUUAACUCAACCGAUAAUUUUUUAAUCGUUUUGUAUUUAAUUUUCAAUACGAUGUAAUCGGUGAUAUAUUAUGUGAUUCUGACAUAUCACUUCAUUCACUCAGAUUCGAAAAGUACCCUCAGUUAUAAAAAAAAAAAAGAUUUUCAUUCCAAAUCAAAUAACCCCAUAAAUAAACUUAAAACAUCCAUCAAUGCAUAAUAAAAUGAAGAAUCAUUUUGGAUUUGAAUGAAUCCCCAUGGAUUUUAACGGCUUAGAGGAGGAAGCUUCCUGGACCAUUCCUCAGCGAUCUUUUCGUUACACGGUAUAAAAAUGAAUGGGAGCAUCAGUUACUCGAUGGAAUUGUAACAUCUCUCUGCUGAUAUCACAUCGCCGGGACUUUUACGUUUUUUUUUCUUCAAUUGAAGGAAACCAUGAACACAUCAGAAUUGCUCCUUCCAGUAGCAGCCCAAAACCACCAGCAUCAAAACCGACAUGCCAGAACAGUCCACAACAAGUCAUCUUCAUCCCUCCGGAAGAAAUCAGAUGUGAUAGCAAUGUCUAAGGUCAGAUGGAAUUUUCUAAGAAACAUAUUGGCCAAUCUUCAGGAGAUUUUUUUGGGAACGAAACUCUUCCUUCUGUUUCCCUUCAUACCUCUUGCCAUUAUCGCCAACCUCUUCAACUUCGGCAGCGUAUGAAAAAUUCCAUUUUUUUUCUUUCUUUCUUUACUCUCUUUUAUUCUACUGAUUAACCAUGGAUGUUUUCUGUUGCUCUUCAGGCAUGGCUGUUCGUGUUCAGUAUGAUCGGACUCAUCCCCUUGGCGGAGCGCUUGAGUUUCCUCACCGAGUGAGUAUAUAAACACACCAGUCAAUUUUUAUUUUACAUUAGCAUUUAGCAGCAGUUUCCUUUUUCUUUUUUAACAUUGAUUCUACUUGUGUACUUGUGGUGUGUUCAGACAGAUCACUUACUUCACUGGCCCAACAGGUGUGGUGUGUUGUGCUCUGUUUUAUUGCUAUGCUCAUCUUCUAUCUUAUUACCAUUUUUUUUGAAAGAUUCUUUUUGCAGUGGGUGGGCUCUUGAAUGCUACUUGUGGGAAUGCAACAGAGCUCAUCAUAGCUCUUUUUGCAUUGCACCAGGGAAAGAUCUCUGUGGUUAAAUCAUCUCUUGUUGGUUCAAUUUUAUCCAAUCUCCUCCUUGUUCUGGGCUCCUCUCUUCUUCUGGGUGGUCUUGCUAAUCUUUCCACCAAUCAGGAGCAAUUCUACAACAGGGUAUGUUCUUUUAUGUCUGUUCUGAUAAGAUUAACUCAACUGAUCACAUUAACUCAACCAAUUCUGGGUUUUUUGUUUCUCUUUUCUGUUGGUGUGUGCAGAAGCAAGCAGAUGUGAGUAUGGGUCUGUUGCUAUUGGGUGUUUUGUGUCAUUUGUUGCCAGUGAUGUUGAGGCACUCCAUCACCGGAAGUUCUGAGAUUGCCAUGGAUGUCGCUUCUUCAACAAUAUUGAGAUUCUCAAGAUUUUGCAGUGUAAUGAUGCUCAUUGUCUAUGUUGUUUACAUCUUCUUCCAACUGAAAACCCACCGUGAGAUUUUUGAGACCGAGGUAAUUAGUUCUGCAUCCAUCAUCUCUGCAGGUAAAGAUGUGGUGGUGAUAUGUAAAGGCGGCCGGACAGUACUGAUUUAUUAACAUAAUUCGAUUGAUUUGUGGAGCAGGAUAACGACGACGAUGAGAAUGAUGAUGUUAGCUCAGACGAUAUACCGGUGAUUGGUUUUGGUAGCGGAAUUGCGUGGCUGGUGGGAAUAACUGUUGUAGUGGCUAUACUAUCUGAAUACAUUGUGGCUACAAUUGAGGUAUGCUCUGUUCUGCUCUGUUCUGUUUUGUACUGUUUUGAUAUGUUUCGAUACCAGGAGGCAUCAAACACAUGGGGACUAUCAGUCAGCUUCAUCAGUGUCAUUCUUCUGCCCAUCGUCGGUAACGCCGCUGAGCACGCCGGUGCUGUCAUUUUUGCUUGGAAAAACAAACUGGUUAGCCAAUUGAAUGAUGAUAUUCAUGUUUAAUUUGUUCACAAUUGGCAUGAAAUUCUUAUGCUUCUUUUUCAUGAAUGAGUGGUUUGUAGGACAUUACCUUGGGCAUCUCUUUGGGAUCAGCUGCCCAGAUCUCUGUGUUUGUGGUGAGUUACUAUUCAGUUGCUCUUAAGGUUUCUGAGAUCCAAGAUUCGAGUCUCAUUAUGUUCGUUUGAUGUAUCAGGUACCACUAAGCGUAGUGUUAGCGUGGAUGAUGGGAAUUCCAAUGGACUUAGAUUUCAAUUUCAUUGAGACUGGAUCCCUUCUUCUAUCAGUGUUGUUAACCGCCUUUGCCUUACAGGUAUUCAAUAAUGUUGCGAUCAAUCGAGAAUAUUCCCAAGUAGAGUUUUUUUUUUUAACGGAUGAUAUUUUUCUACAAGAUAUAAAAAUGUUUACCUUCGAGUGAUAUACUGUAGCCACACAUAAUAUCAUCGGGUAAAUCAUAAUGGAAAUGUACACAACCAUACUAAAACCCUGGAUCCUCGCAAACUUUAAUAGCUAAUCUCCAUGUGUAUUCCCAAAUAAAUAUGUGAUUACGAUUAAAUUGUCUUGGGUUUUUCCCUCCAGGAUGGAACAUCACACUACUUCAAGGGGCUUGUGCUUCUCAUAACCUAUUUCGUCAUCGCAGCGUGCUUUUUCGUCCUCAAGACACCCUUGAGUAAGUAAGUGCAUUUGUUAAUCGUCUUUGGUUCCAAACUUAUUGAACUAAUUCUUGUCAAUCAUUAGGUGAGCUUGAUGAUUCUAAAUAGGAUGAUGCAACAACAAGUGAUCAAAAUUGUCAUAUCAUCAAAAUUGUCAGAUAGAAAAAUUCAAAAUGUUUUUGAAGGUGUAAUGUUUAGGAAUGAUUCAGAUGAGAUAUUUCAAGGUAGAUAUUUUGAGAUAUUUGAAUCUCAACCUUCUAUUGACAUUAAAUGAGUUUUGAUAAUGACAUCAAGAUAUGCAAUUUAUUUUGAUUAUAAAAAAUGAACAGUAAAAUCGAUGGAUCAGAUUGUUGUUGUGUUUAGUAGGGUUUCUAAGGUCCAGAGAAAUUAGUUUAAUUAAUCACAGUAACUAUUAAGGUUUCCGAGGUUCAGGAAGAUCGAUUAGCUUAACUGAUCACAGUAACUAUUAAGGUUUGCGAGGUUCAGGAAGAUCGAUUAGUUUAACUGAUCACAAUAACUAUUAAGGUUUCUGAGGUUCAGAGAGAUCGAUUACCUUAACUGAUCACAGUAACUAUUAAUAUUUCUGAGGUUUAGGGAGAUCGAUUAGCUUAAUUGAUCACAGUAACUAUUAAAAAUUUUGAUCGAGGUUCAGAGAGAUCGAUUAGCUUAACUGAUCACAGUAACUAUUAAUAUUUCUGAGGUUCAGGGAGAUCGAUUAGCUUAAUUGAUCAUAGUAACUAUUAAAAUUUUUGAUCGAGGUUCAGAGAGAUCGAUUAGCUUAACUGAUCACAGUAACUAUUAAUAUUUCUGAGGUUCAGGGAGAUCGAUUAGCUUAAUUGAUCACAGUAACUAUUAAAAUUUUUGAUCAAGGUUCAGGGAGAUCGAUCAGCUUGACUGGUCACAGUAACUAUUAAGGUUUCCGAGGUUCAGGGGGAUCGAUCAGCUUGACUGGUCACAGUAACUAUUAAGGUUUCCGAGGUUCAGGGGGAUCGAUCAGCUUGACUGGUCACAGUAACUAUUAAGGUUUCCGAGGUUCAGGGAGAUCGAUUAGCUUGACUGGUCACAGUAACUAUUAAGGUUUCCGAGGUUCAUGGAAAUUAGCUUAACUGAUCACAAUAACUAUUAAGAUUUCUGAAGUCUAAGAUUUGAAUUUCUUUGUGUACAUUUUUAUUAUGAUUUAUUACAUUUUGAACAUUAUCAAAAAAAAUGUGCUUGUGUUUGGUAAUGGCCAAGUCUAAUAGAAGGUAUGAAUGGGUUCACUUAAUUAAAAGUAUGGGUGCAAUUCAGGCCCAGUAUGGGCUCAGUUUGAAAAUUGAAUGAUGGGCCGGGUUUUGGGUUUUAUAUUCGAGUCAGUAAACCGGUUCGACUCGAUAAGAAACAAAUGUACUCUCUUCUUAGCUUUCUACUUCCGCCUUCCUCCUCACCUCGUCGGCCGGUCAGUCAUUCGACCUCGGUAGCCGUCGAAGCAGAAUGCACACAUGGAAGGAAGGGGAGGAGGAUAGCUUCAUCGGUGUUUGCCUCCGACUCUUGGUGCACGAGAGUACCGUCAAACCUUUUCCGAUUAGAAAACAAAGAAGAAGAGGAAAAAAAAUCUAAAACCGACGAUGGACGGAGGUGGGAGAAGAUGGAAGAAGAGGCGAGUCUGUUGCUUCUUCCCCCAGGGCUUCUGAGGGAAACAAUGCCUAGACAUGUGGCUGUCAUCAUGGACGGAAACUCAAGGUGGGCGAGCUUUAGACGACUUCCCGUCUCCGCAGGCCAUGAGGCAGGGUACCGGGCGCUCAGGGAGAUAAUCGAUCUUUCUUCUUCUUGGGGUAUUCGAGCUCUUACCGUCUUCGCUUUCUCUACUGAAAACUGGCUUCGACCCAAGGUUAUUUUUCUUCUUCCCAUUUCCAUCUUCUUCGGACUUCUUAUUGUUUUGAGGUUUUUUAUUUUUUAUUUUUGCAGGCAGAGGUUGAUUUCUUGAUGCGUUUGUUUGAGGGUUUAUUCAAAGAACAUCUUAAAGAUUUCAACAGGUAAGUUAAUAUGCGUCAUUGUGUCUUAAGUCUGUAUUCGAUUUUCAUCUUUCUGAUGUGUGUUUCUUAGAAUAUAUUUGAACCCAACUGGAUUUUUCCAUAUCUUGAUUGCUAAAACUAUAGGAUCCAUCGAGAUUUAUCUAAACCCUUGGGUUUUAAUUCACUGAUACAACUUUAAAUUUUAUUCAACUUAGAACAACUAUUUGAUCCAAUGUAGAUUUACUGAAAUUUUGGCUGUUAUUCAAUCAAAUUAGAACUAGUAAAUCACUUAAACCAAUCAAAAUAUUUCAAAAAAAUAGGCUGCAAUUCAAUCAAAUUAAAUCAACUAGUUUCGUCCAAUCUGUUUGUGAGUAUCUGUGGAUUUAUAAUUGUUCUAACUUGAUUUUAUUUUGAAUCAAAGCAAGCAUUUGGAAAUCUCUGAAACAUUGGUUAAUUACUUAAUUAUUUGCAUUCACAACAAGCAUUUACUUAAUCUCAAAACAAUGGUUAAACCAUCCUGGAUGUUAGAAAUAUGAAAUAAUUUUCUUCUUAUUCAUAUCAGGAAAGGUAUACGAAUAUGUGUGAUUGGGGAUACAUCAAAGCUCCCAGAGUCACUACAGAUUUUGUCGAGAGAAGCAGAAAAAGACACAAAACAUAAUACUCAUUUAGAACUGAUUGUCGCACUAAGCUACAGUGGGCGAAGUGACAUAGUCCAGGCUUGCCAAAAAGUCGCACACAAAGUGAAAGACGGUAUCCUCGAUCCAUCUGAUGUGACUGAAUCUAUAAUCGCAGAAGAAUUGGAGACGAAUUGUACUGGCAAUUUUCCUUACCCAGACUUGCUGAUCAGAACCAGUGGAGAACUAAGGUUGAGUAAUUUUUUACUCUGGCAAUCAGCAUACACCGAACUUUUUUUUGCCGAAUCGCUCUGGCCUGAUUUUGGAGAGGCUGAUUACAUCAAGGCUUUAGCUUCUUUUCAGCAGCGACAGAGGCGUCAUGGUAGGCGGAUUUAAUGCACAUUUUGAAUUGACUGCUUUUAUCACAACAGGAAAAAAUUCACCACUUUGUUUAUAAAUCAUACAUUAUCACAUGAUGUGAAUAUAUGAUUAUGGUUAUGAGAUGAUUGAUUUAGGAUGGAUGGAUUUUCAUAUUCUCAUGUAAAUUUUUAUCUUUCUCUAAAGCAUGAAUAGAGUAAGGUUCAUGCUAUUCCUGAACUUCUUAUACUGCACGUUAGGAGACCUUUUGAGGUAGUCCUUAAGAAGGUUAUUAAAGACAUCAGUUUUUCCUUUGAUUCGAGAUAUUACAAAAAAACUGUUGUCACCUUUUGGAAACAUCUAUAAUAGAAGUAUGAGAGAUCAACUUUUUGAUACAGUGUAUCUAGUUACUGUAUAACUAAACUGCAUAGUUAAUGAGAGAGAGUCAAUGGGUUUUUUAUUCAUUUCUUUUUAUUUCUGUUUCUAUACUCUAUUUUUGUAAACUAUGCAUUAACUUUAUUUUUAAAUAAAAAAAUUUAUUAUUUUAAAAAAAAAACUAUUAACCCCCUCGAUAUUAUGAUUUUUAUGUAAUCUUAAUGAAAUGGAUUUAAAUAGAAAAGUAUUGGGGAUAAUGGGUUUGAAUGCAAAUGUACAAAAUACAGGUCAUCACGAUUCCAACUACAACUCAUACUAAAGUCCUAGAACUCGAUCUUCCAAGUUCCAAGCCUGCAAGUCAAAAUCAUUCGUUGUUGCUGCUUAACCGAAACCCUAACGCAUCGAUCUUGGAGCCGGCGAAGGCAAAUUCAGUAGUUUCAAAUUGUUUCGAUUGUCCUCUUGUUGUUACGAGAGAUGGAGACAGGGUUUACAGCAGCAGAUAUGUCCACUAUAGGUGGAAUUGCAACGGUUUCCAUCUUGCAUUCCUUUAUCCCCACCCAUUGGCUUCCCUUCUCCGUCGUCGGACGCGCUCAGAAUUGGACGCUUUCAAGAACUCUCAUCGUCAGUGAGUACGAUUGACUUUUUGUUUGUUUGUUUGUUUGUUUUCUCUCAUAAAAAUUGGGAAUUUGGGAUACUGAUUUAUUUGAUCCUGAUUCGUUGACUUUUGAGAUUAUUAUGAAUGAUUUAUUAUUAUUAUGUUUGAUUAUUGUUUAGGUUUUUGCAAAGAUUUUGUUUGACGUUGAAGUAGAAAUAGUUAUUUAGUUUGAAAUUUAGCUAGGUAUGAUGAUUGAAAAUGAUAAAUCAGUUUUAUUUCCAUUCAUAUAUUAAAACCACUGAACAGUUGAACGAUAUAUCACUAUUUUUCUUCUUUGGUGUUCUUAUCUUGAAUCUAUGUAGAAUUCCACUUUAAUCUCUCUUUUUUCCCAUGAAAAUCUAGUUCAUGAAAUGAUCUGCUGAUGUGAUGGUGUCUUCCUUUUUAAAUUCAAUAUGUUGCUGUUGUUUUUAUCUGAUUUUUUAUUUAGAUUGUUUCUUUGUUGUUCUUUAUCUUGAAUCAAUAUGGCAUUCCACUUUAAUCCUUUUGUAUUGUUAUGUAGAGGGCUUGUACUAGCAGUUGACCUAAGUAUCUAUAACUACCAUAGUACCAUGCAUGGAGAUGUAAUGAUUAAUGAAAAUUAAAACUUCCUGUCUCUUCUUCUUUUUCUACCUGGAGAUUUGGGUUUAACUCUAAUCUAACCUGUUACAAUUCACUGGGUUUUGUAACCUAUAACUUUGUAUUAUUGGAAUUAUUUAAAAAAUGGAGAAGGGAACAUGUUUUAUGGAUUAUAGAUAUAUAUGGGUUGGAUUUCAAACAACCAAACAGAGGCUAAGUUCAGCAUGUAAUAUAAAUUACAUUAUGAAUUUAUAACAACUCUUUCCGAGUCGACAUUCUUCCUCAAGAAUAUGCUGGUAUUCCAUAAAAUCGAUUUGUUCUGACUUCUGAAAUAUAAUUAGAUUUUUUUUAAAAUUCUAUGAUGUUUGUGCUGCAGCUGCAUUUGGAGCAGUAUUGCAUGUCAUCUCGACGUCGCUACUUGGCAUUACUGCAAUCACUAUGGCCAACACAAUUGCAGGUGAAGAAACAGUCCAUCAACUUGCUUCCCUCUUGCUUAUAGUACUUGGAGGAGGUUACAUUAUUUCCCAUGUCCUUGGCAAACGAGGACACAGUCAUUCUCACAAUCAUCCCAUGGAAAAGAUGGCUGUAGCAGGACUUGUGCUUGUUCCAGCACUAUCUCCAUGUGCAACCACACUUCCUGUGUUUCUAGCCGUUGGCAAUUCAUCCUCUAUGAUGAUUCUUGCUAUCAUAGUGUUACUUUUCAGGUAUUAAAAAAUGCACUUCGUUAAUUUGAUAUUUUUUAACUUAUAGUUGGUGAUGUCUUCUGGCCCAAGUUGGGUUGAAGCAGCACCUCAGGUAACGUCUAGAGUGAGAAGGGAAUCUUCGUCUAAGAACACACACUCUAUUCUUGAAUUCGGAAGUCUUGAGUAAUCAGUCUUCAAGGGUAGAAUUAUGUAACCCUUUAUCUUUGGCAAUCCUCCUCUAUUUAUACUUUUAUAGAGGUUUUGAAAAUGUGACAUGGUCUGGAUGCGAACUGAUUGAUCUGGUUCAGUUUUUAAUGUGCUAUAAUAGAAAAUGGGUUUAUGUUGAUUGACCCUGAUCGGGUUGUGCGAUGCCUAUGCCCAAGCUCUAGCUCGGCUCGCGAGCUUAACGAGCCGAGUACAUCGAGUCGAGCUUUACUUGACACCCUACCUAUGUGGAUUGUCCAACCCUAACCCAUGGACCAAGGUUGUCCAACACUAUCUGGUUCGGUUUCAAUCAAUCUUUUCAUGAUUUUCUUCUUUAAAUAUUCAUUGUUUGGUACCUUUGAUGAUCCAUUCUUGCACUUUUAAUUCAUCAUAAUGCACACUAGAUCUUAAACCCAUUUUUCUUUUAUGCUAUCUAAGUUUAUAUUUGUUUGUUUGAAAUGUCUCUCAGUUUAUUUUUUGAGGAAAUUAAAGAUUUUCAUUAGAAAUGAAGGGCAAGGCUUGAAAUUACAGGAGAUCUAUGAUAUCAGAGUAAUUAUAUUUAUAGUUGCCCACUAUGGUAACAGAUUAUAUCAUUUUUGAGAAUUUGAGAUGUUGAAUAGUUUCUAGGUGAAAACAAACUUAAGGAAUUGUUAGCAAAUGGGAUCCUUCAUUGCGCUUGUGAUCCUUUUGAGACAUUGUGCCUAUCAAGAGCAAACAAAUGGCAAAAUACAAACUUAUUCUCAUUGCCCUAUAUAUUAAUCAUGUUGUGUAUUGAUGUGUUUAAUCUUUCUCUAUUGCAGUACAAUAGGUGUGAUGACUUCACUGGUGGCUUUAUCCUUUUACGGUGCCAGUCAGCUAAAAUUCCACUGGGUCGAACGCAAUGACAAGCUUCUUGUAGGCUCAGUGUUGUGUCUGGUUGGAAUAUUGACAUUGCUUUUCCAUGACCAUGGAGGGGAAGAACACUCAAUUCCGCACCAACUAUCUAGAAAGACCCUCGGCAUUUAAGAUCACCAACAAAUUAUGAAUUAUCCACAUCCUUUGGAAAGAAGUCUGUACAAUGCAUGCAUCUAUCAACAACUGGAGAUGAGUGAUUUCAGGUGAAUUGCAGGUUAAAAAUUUAUCCAGCGGCUGGUGCUUCUUCACCUAAAAAUCUCCCUUGUUUUUGUUUUGUUUUUUUAAUGCGUGUGAAUGAAUAUACACAUAUUUUAAAACGUUGUUCAGGAAAGCAAAAUAUCUCUUGAUAUCAAACCUAAUACCAGUCUAAAAUGAGGUUAUAUAAUUACAGAAAUUUUCGGACACGAUACCUGUCCUCACCGGCCGGCGAACGGUACCUGUGCUGGAUACUGUUGAAAUUCAAUUGGUCGUCCGUCAACUACGGUAAAUGUCGUUCCCUGCGGACAUCCAAAAUAGCUGACAACAAGGCACACAUCUACUUUGGCUAGGAGCUACCUAGUCAUAGAGGUAUGGGUUACCUGCCACCUCCGUACCUGUCUGGUGACAUCCGCGUACUGGUGGUAAGAGUUAAUUUAGACAUCCCUUCUACGACCACCGUCCUAUCGUUCUGAAAAUGCACCCUAUAUAAUUAAGAGAGUUAUUUUCCAAAUAAAUUGGUAGGGUUGCAAUUAUAAACUUGAACUACUUCUAUCAUCGCAUGGUCCUAGUAGAUUUUAGGAAUACUCACAUUAUGAAUUAGCGCGAGCGUCGUGUCGAUAUCUGCACUCGACUUUUCCCAUUUGUUGAUGCAUUUUCGACUCACGCGAUGACACAGAUGAUAGUAUAGCCGGCGAUAUUGAGGACAUGAGCCAAUCAAGAAUGAGUUGGUCUUAUUGUUCACAAAAUGGAUUUACCAAAUUGGUGGUACGCUCCAUGUACUCUAUCAAGUGAUUACCUCUUAGGUUAGGAGCAAAUUGUGGUCUCCAAGCAUAAUAAUUCAAAUUGUUUAAAGUAACAGUCUUAGGUUGCUUCAUUUUUACAACCCUAGACGUUCAAACGGCAUGUGUCUCCUUCUUGUCGUCGAAGCAGCACUUAUCUUUACCAUCUUCGUUUUCGCAAGAGAAUCCCAUGUUGCAUCAGGAUUUACUGAAGAGCUCAGUGAUCUCUGAUACCAUAUGAAAACAAAGUUAUUUUCAAAAUGUGUUUUCUUCUUAAUCUCAAAGUAGAGAAUUAAUGGUUUAAAUGUGUACUAUAUCUCAUUUAUAACUAUCUCAUCUGAAUCUAAAUUUAAUAAAAUGAUUUAUGUUCAAUUUCAAUAAAAUUCGUUCUAUGAAAUAAAAUAGAUAAAUAUAAUUGAGUUGAUGAAUGAUUAAAUUUAUACAUUUUUAUGGUGUAUUUGAGAUUUUCCCUUAUAUUUUUUAUGUUUCACACUUUCGAUCCUUGAAUUUUGCCACAAUGGAUUUUCAAACAUCUCCUGACCAUUAGAUGAAGAUCCAAGGUUAAAUAUACCCUACAUUGCAAGACGCCCUCAAUUGAUUCGACUCAAGGUUUUAGCAGCUUUGACUUAUAUAAACGAGGCAAGUCUGGAUUAGGGUUUCCCUGCCGCCAUUCUUCUUCCUUUCUGAGUUUUCAAGAUCUCCGUUUUCGCCGAUUUCCGCAGCCAUGGUUGCCGCUAAGAAGACGGUGAGCUGUUAAAUGACAUCAUUUCUUUUCGUUUCUCUUAAUUACAGAUCCGCCGAGCCUCUUUUCACCAUAAGAAUCCAUGUUUAUUUGUUGUUUUUGUGAUUUCUGCAGAAGAAGAGCCAUGAUAACAUCAACAAUAGGCUUGCACUCGUCAUGAAGAGUGGAAAGUAUACUCUUGGUUACAAGACCGUCCUUAAAACUAUCAGGAGCUCUAAAUGUAUUACUUCCCCUCUUUUUUUCUCGUAAUUUGAUCUCUAUCUCCUGUUUUUUAUUUUUCGCGUUGUCAAGAUUUCAGAUCCGUUAUUUUAAAUUUUUUAUGGCGAUUUGUUUCGUUCAAUCGAGUUUUUAACGUUGCAAUUUAACGACCUCUGUAAUUUUUUUGCCUAAAUGAUAAAUGUGAAAUGUUAUAAUCCAUGUUCCUGUGUUUUUUCUACUAUAAUUUUUUUUAAAGCAAUUACAUUCUCAUACUUGAAAACCUUGUUUCUUUUAUAUAUAUAGUGUUAUGUUUUGUUUUGUUUUGUUUUGUUUUGUUUUGUUUUGUUUUGUUUUGUUUUGUUUUGUUUUGUUUUGUUUUGUUUUGUUUUGUUUUGUUUAUUGGGAAUUUCCUUGAUGAUACGUUAAUUACAGUUCUUUUCCAUCUCAUGUGUAAUAAUCAAUAAACUACCAACCCUAAUUUUUAUGUUGCAUUCAACAUAUACUCUAUUGGGUCUAUUGUUAUCUGUGUCUUAUUUUUCUCAUUCCCCAUUUUAAUAAGAAACAGUCUUAUGUUUUUAAUUUUUUAUUAUGCCACAAUGCAACAUAAUAUUGUCCUGAACGGCUGAGUUCUUAUUGAGUUAUUCUAGCUUCUGGAGUUUUCUUAAGUCUUAACUGGAUAAUUGUUUUAUGUAUUUCUAUAUUCCAUGUAUUAUAACCAAUAAGCGACCAACCCUAAUUAUUAUUUUUCAUCCAACAUGCUCUAUUGCGUCUUUUGUUAUCAGUGUCAAUCUCUUUAUUCCUCUUUUUUGCAUUGUAUUAAAAAUAGCCUUAUGUUUUAAACUUUGUAUUACUCCACAAUGCAACAUAAUAUUGUCCUGAAUGCAUGAGUUCUGAUUGAGUUAUUGGAGCUUCUGGAGUUUUAUUAACUGAACAAUUAUUUUAUGUAUUUCUAUUUUCCAUUGUUUUAUAAUCAAUGAUCUUCUUGUUAUUUUUUAUUUUGCAGCUAAGCUGGUCAUAAUAUGCAACAACUGCCCACCUCUCCGUAAGUCUGAGAUUGAGUAUUAUGCUAUGUUGGCAAAGAUCGGUGUUCAUCAUUUCAAUGGAAGUAAGUGAUCUAUCUACUAACUUGUUUUCUUUUAUCUUGCAUUUUCACUCUCUAUAUACAUUUUUAUCAUUCUUAUUGUAUUAUCCAUUAAACUCAGAUGUUAUUGUAUUUCAUUUCUUGUAAUAUAGAUUUUGAACCAGACUAAAUAUUGAUGUGCUUUGCUUUUUUUCACAGACAAUGUUGAUUUGGGAACAGCAUGUGGAAAAUAUUUCCGUGUCGGCUGUCUGAGCAUCCUUGAUCCAGGUUUACCUUCUAUUUACAAUGUGAUUUAAAUUGGUCAUACCACCAUUGAUCAAUAAUACUUACAUACGUAGCUUUACUCUUCCUUGCAGGUGAUUCUGAUAUAAUCAAAUCACUAUCCAGUGAUCAUUGAAGAAAUCGCAAUUUUCAACUACCAAUUUAAGUUAUAUUUUCAUAAUCAUGUUUUGGGUUACUUUUGUUUUUUUCCUAUCUAGAAGUUCUUUCGAAUCGAAUAUUCUCUUCAGGAUUUCCUCUUAAUUAACUCAUUGUCCUGUCAAAUUUUCUUAAUUAUUAUUUAGCCACUAAUUUUUUCUUGCAAUUCUCUCUUUAUUUGAAUUUAUAUAAAAUAUGUUCCUUUCCUCUCUCUUCUUCUUUUCAUCAAAUCCAUAGAUUUUUUGUUAUUAAGUAUGAGUUUCUAUUAUAUUGUGCAUUGAAGUAUGAUAUGUUUCUUUAUGGUUUCUUUAUUUUAUUUAUUUUCUAUAAUAGAUUUAUAAUAUAUUAUUGGUGAAAAUUAAAUAAAAAUUACGAGAUUAAAAUCUUAUAUUUUUAGUAAUUUUAAUAGUUCCUUGAAUCAAUAGAUCUAAUCUUUAUUAUUAAAUUUUAUUUACAAAUAAGUCUAUAUUUUUGAAAAAAUCACAUAUUUUUUGGGUAAAACACUAAAAAAAUUAGAUUGAUGGUGUUAAGGAGCCUGUGCAAUUCAAUGACAUGUAUGGACAAAAAUGCUAUUGGGUAUUCAUCGUGACAUGUAUGAACAGAAAAAAAAGAUACAGACAACACGUUAGUAGACUUUCUGAGGUAGUAUUUAAAAAAGUUAUUAAAAACAUAGUAUCUUCUUUGAUCUGAAUUCUGAAGUGUUACAAAAAGAGUUGUUAUCAGCAUUUGAAAACUUUUAUAAUGGAAGUAUGAAAGAUCAAUCUUCUGAUCGUAUUUAGUUAUUUUAUUAACAGAAAAUUAAUGAUUUUUUGUUCAUUUUUUUUAAUUCUAUUUAUAUAUUUUAUUUUAUAAUUUAGUUUUUUUAAUAAAAUUUAAUUACUUAAAAAUAUAUUUUUAAGUAAAAAUAAAUACUUUUAAAUCUAUAAUUCAUAAAAAUAAGCUUAACAGUUAGCCCUUUUCAUCUUAUUUAUCUUGUCAAAUUCAUGGGCCAAAUGCAUUGGGCCUCAUGGACCAAAUAUUAUAAAAUAAUUUUUGAUUACUUUUAAAAUUAUAAAAAGUCCACCAAAUAAUAAUAAUAAUAAUAAUAAUAAUAAUAAAUAAGACGUAGCAAACGGUUUGUGCAAUAGUGGAAUCACCAGGCAAUCAAUCACCUAGAAGUCUAGAACACACUACCGGCACUCACAGCACCACGUCGAUCCAAAUUUGACAAGCCGCCAUUCGGCAACUGCAGAAUGCAACGGAUAUGGAGGAGAAGCUUUCAGAUUUCACUCCUGGCUACUCGAUCUAAUGAAGCUUCUAGAUUAACCCUAGUAAAAUCCGCCGUCAUCAUCCCGCCCCGUCUCUUCUCAACUGAUUCCUAUGGUAUAAUUUUUUUCUUUCUUUUUUUCUAAAUUCGUUUUGGUUGUCUAGUUAUUGUUGUGCGUGAUCUCUAUUAGGUGUCAAGUCUAUCGUGAAGAGGAGUGCAGGGAUUCUAGAUUUACGGAAGGUUAGUUUGUGACUUUGUGUGCAUUUUUUUGGGUGUUUUUUGUUUCUUCUAUUUAGAUUGGUAUCUGAGUUUGAGUUUGGCUAAUGAAGUUAUAAUUUUGAGUUAUAAUUCAAAACUAUGAUUGCUAUUUUUGUUGUUGUGUCAGAACUUCUUAUAUAGGAGAUAUGCAUUUAUUUCAACAUCUUCUGGUGAUUCUUCAUCAAUAAAGCCAUUUAAUAAUGAUGGAAAACCAAACGAAAAUGCUAUAUCCAAACCGAAUUUGACAGAAGAAAGUAUUACUGACACAACCAUACUACGGAAUCUUAUUAAGUAUUUAUGGGCAAAUGACAAUCUUGAAUUUCGUCUCAGGGUGGUAUUGGCCAUGGGUCUUCUUAUUGGUGCAAAGGUAAAUACUUGUUUUCUUAUUACAAAAAAAACGCGUGUUUGAACUUUUUAUUCCAUUUAAUUCUUCUUCUUCUUCUUCUUCAAGUUUUCACCAUUAGUUUUACAUCAGAGGAUAACAAAUAGAGUAGGGCAGGGCAAUUCCCGAGAUUACAAAUGUAGGGAAAUGCAAGUACAUAAAAUGUAAAACAUAAAAUGCAAAAUCACUGUCACUUUCUUAGCUGUGACCAUGGCUAACUAGCUAAGGGCUGGUGCCUCAAGAGGUUGGACUCCCAUAGACGUAUGGCUUGAAAUUCAAUCUGUGUAAGAUUGAACUUCUUAUAUGUUGUGGCAUCAUGAGCAAUGUUCACAUCCCUUAUGAUUUCUCUGCUGACAAUUUCCCUAGUGUUAAUCUAAUUAGAGAAGUUGCCUCAAAGUUGAAGCCUCCCACUUGUACAAAAACUGUAAUUCUGGCCCUGAAUUUUCCUUUUUUGUGGAUCUCUUGCUUGAAGGACAAGCUAAUGUCCCUGAUGGUUUAUUUGGUGAUCACUUUUGGUGGUCUCGGAGUAUGAUUCUUCAAUCACUCGUUCCUUUCUGCCCAUAAAUGCCAUGACAGACUGCCCAUUUGCCCAAGAUGUUCCAGUGCAAGCUCCAGGAGAUGGAAUGGUGUAUUAGCUUUUGACAUAUAAUGUCCUCAACUAACAAUGCUCUCUGAAAAAUAAUGAACAUACCAGCACCUACUAUCACACACCCUGACAUCAGACUAGAGAAUCUAACUGAAGCUAACUCAUCGCUCUCAAAUUUGGGGCUUAUUAUGGACCAUGAUUGGAUCCUUGAGCUGGCACAUAUGGGCAGAAAGAAACAGAAGAUGACAGCAACACACAUCCAGGCCACCAGAAACAGUUCUCAAGGAAGUUAUAAAUGACAUAAGAAGCUCCUUUAGGCCUGAGGCUUACAAAAGAGCUGUUGUCAUCCUUUGGGGCAUAGCACGAUACGGAUAUGGGAGACCAACCUCCGGAGGCAGACGACCUAGAAUAUCAAUAGUCAAUACUAGGCAGCGUGUUUGUGUGGAAAGUGUCUUACUUAUUUCCAUAUUUUUAUCUUUUAUGCCUUUUACUCCAUCUGUAAUCAGGACAUUGUCCUUCAUUAUAAAAAUGAAAAUCAUUAACUUCUUAAAAAAAAUGUCCUCAACUCUAAGGUCCGUGUGUAGGGUGGUGGGGAUGAGGGAGUUGAGGAUUUCUUCUUCUUUUGUAUAGAAAACCCAAAAAUAGCAAAGUUACAUAGGUACAAACCAAGGCUUGAAAUAUGCCGAGGCACGUCAGACUUUCACAUCUCGAUGCCUAGUGCGUUACAUAAUUUGUUUUUUAUAAUAUACUAAUCUUAUAUUGCUUAAUAUAUACUAAUAUAUACCUCAAAUUCAGAAAGUAAAAUGCAUAUUCUGACAAAUUAGCAAUGUAGCAUAUUAAACUAAGGAUCUAAGGUACUUAAUAUCAAAAAAUAUAGAAAUACUAGUAGUUCUGUUAUUUGAAUUGAAUAAGAAAAUUAUAACUUGAAGUAAUUAAGUUCUACUCCCUCUUUUUCCUCUGCCGGAGGCAUAGAAUAAAAAGCGACGCUUAAAGCGUCGCUUUAAUAGCUUAAAGCGGAAAAGCGCUCCUGGAGGAGCGCUUUCCAAAUCGCUUUUUUUAAGCAGGUGAGUGGGUUGGGUCGGGUUAGUGGGUUUCUACCCAUCACCGGGCAGUAGAAGCUUGAAGUAGGGAGGAGGAGAAAGAUCUGUAAGCUGCAGUAGAAGCAAACUCUUCAAACAGAUUUCUUCCUCUUUUAUAGCUGCUGGAAGUUUCUCAUGGUCCAGCAUCUGUCUGGCCAGGUGUCUUCCCAAAUUAGACACCUGGUUGGUUUGUUACACCUAUAAAUAUUACACCUAUAAAUUACACCGAUAAAUUACACCUAUAAAUAUUCAUCACCUGGUUGGUUUGUUAAACGUGUAAUAUAAGUUAUAUUACACCUAUAAAUAUUACAUGUUUACUGUAAUAAAUGUUAUAUUACACCUAUAAAUAUUUAUAACAGGGGUAUAUAUUUGAAAAAAAAAUAUUUAUAGGAUUUGAAAAAAAUAAUACAGGAAUAUAUAUGCAAUUUUCUAAAAAAAUGCAUAUAUUUACGAAAAUGCCAUUAUCGCUUUUUUUAGCUUUAAGCGCGCUAACAGGGGUAUAUAUUUGAAAAAAAAAUAUUUAUAGGAUUUGAAAAAAACAAUACAGGAAUAUAUAUGCAAUUUUCUAAAAAAUUGCAUAUAUUUACGAAAAUGCCAUUAUCGCUUUUUUUAGCUUUAAGCGCGCUAAAGCGCUUAAAGCUAAAAAAGCGCUAAUUGGAAAUUGGGAGCGCUUUAUGCUUUUUAAAACUAUGGCCGGAGGUCAAAAGUCAGGAACGAGGUCGAAAGAAGCAGGUUCUGGCUGGUGGAUAAACCUUAACAAGCAGAUUCAUCCAAUAAAAUCUGUGGUUCUCCUCCUAGUAUAGUGCAGCUACACUUUGUAUCCCUACUAUAUUGGGUGAAUAAACCUUUUACUUUCCACUAUGUUCUUUUCUCAGUUGCAGCAUUCCCUACUCUGAAUAGUUUGUCAUUUUCUUAAUUUCAUUAGAUCUUCCACGCCAUGAUCAAUCCAAUAUUUUCCUCCACUACAUUUGGCGCCCAAUUUUGUUUUCUAUAAUAAAAGUUUCAAUGUCAAGUUAACGGUGUUUUAAAUCUCACAUUUUCAGGUAAUAAAUGUUCAAGUACCUUUCUUAUUCAAGCUUUCUGUAGAUUGGCUAUCAGCAGCAACAGGUGCUAAUUCAAUGAUUCAAUUUACUGAUGCUAAUUCUACUAUGCUGGCUCUUUUCGUAAGUCCAGUUGCUGUUUUAAUUGGAUUUGGAAUAGCUCGGGCUGGAGCAUCUGCUUGCAAUGGUACCAUUUACGAAGUAACUUCUAAUACUCAUGGAAAUUUGCUCAAUCAUUCAUAAAAUACUUAGUUUUUAUCUUUCUGUUCAAUCAGUUUGUUUUUUCUCUUCCAUGGAUUGCUACCAAGGUUCCGGGUGCGCGCGCAUAUGCGAUGAUGCGCCCCCAGAGGGAGAUGCGCCAGGCGCAUCUCCCUUAGCCGGAUCCGGGUCGGAUCCGGGUAAAAUCCGACCCGGAUCCAGGCCUGUUUUAAGUUAUUUAAAUAACUUAAAACAGUGUUUUGUUUUUAUUUAAAAAAAAAAGGCAAAAAAAAUUUAUUUUAAGACCUUAUAAAUUUUUAGCAUAAAAAUUUAUACAUUGGUCCAUGAAAAGAGCUAUAUUAUUUUUAAUAUAAGCUCCUCCCACUCUUUAGACUUCAUAUUUGUUUUAGACAAAAUGAAUCUUUAUUUAUAGACCAACCUUCUUUGUGUUUUUUGAAUUCUAUCGAUGUGGGACUAAAAAUGUGUGGUUAAAUAAAUUAUUAUUAUAGAGUAUUUUUUAUGUUGUAGAUGUAUUAAAGAAGGCCCAGCCCAGCCCAUUACGUUAUUAUUUUUUAAAAGCCUCUUGGGUUAUUUAUUAUUUUCUUUUUAUAAAAGUCUCUCUUUUAUAAGUUUAAAGAAACCCUAGCCAUUUAUAGAGCUAUAUUAUUACGAAAAUACCCCUAAAUGAUUAACCGGUUUUUAAACCUUGGUGUUACAAUGAAUUAUAGGGUGUUAUAAUAAUUAAUAAAUAUAUGUAUUAUAAUAAUUUUUCUAUCCAAUAUAUUUUUAACUAAAAAAUUUAAUUAAUAUAAUUUAGAUAUAUAAAAAAAUAUUAAUUUCCUAUAGUUUUAUAAAUAUUUACGAAAAUGCCACUGGCGCAUCUGAGCGCAUAUGCACGCAUAUGCACGCAUAUGCUCAGAUGCUCCAGGCGGCGGCGCAUCGCGCAGAGGCGCAUCCGGAACCUUGAUUGCUACAUUCUUUCUUAUAUAUACUACUUUUCCUUUUGAUGAUUAUUCUUUCAACAGAAUUACGAAAUGCUGUUUUUUCCAAGGUGACACUAAGAGCUAUCCGCACAGUGUCCAGAAAGGUAGUUUUUUAUUUAAAUAUUGGGCAGUUUUGGCCUUAUAUUAUCUCACAUAAAAGAGUUCUUUUUCGGUCGAGUCAUUGUUCAUCAGUGGCAUGUUAACCUUUAUUUUGUACUUUUAUAACAACUAUAUUUUAUGUUUGUUGUUCUACUGCAUUUUCCUUUCAUUAGCACAUUUAUGAUUAUUGCCCUGUUUAAUUUUUUUACCUUUCCUUUUUAAAUAAUUACGUUAGAAGUUCACAUAACUUGACACAAUUUACCAAUUACCACUACCUGGGUGCCGAGUUUAACACCAUUUUUUACUGAGUUUUACACCACUUUUGGUUUAUCUUUCUCUCCCAUGCUUUUAUGGUUAUUUGUUUUCUGGUCAUGACAUCCCUAGAGGACUUUGCCUACUCUUAAGUCUUGAGUAGCGAUGUCUUUGAAGGGGUUUUAUCUUUCUGUUUAUCUUUGUAAAUCUGUGAAAGGCUCACUUCAUUUUCAAUGAAAUUUUACCAUUAAUUCCAAAACCAAUGUUGGAACGUUGUGCACUUACUUUACAAUAUACUCAAAGUCUUUACUAUACACCCUCCUCAAUGGAUUACAAAUACAUUAGUUGCAAAUGCAGUAAUGCACAAUUCUAAUUUUAGCUCCCUUACAAGUUGUAAUUAGCGUUGGAAGUGAACUUAUUGUUCAUGUAAUCUAUAGCUUGUGAUGGGAGUUUACUCAGUGCAUUAAUUGCAUUGUCAUCUUUUAUGCAAAUGUAAUUCUUUUAUUUUAGUGUAUUGUAUGAUUUACAUUCAUCUGAUUCCAAAUUGAAAUUUAGGGUAAGCAUGAAACAACUAAAUUCAAGAAUAUUUAGUUAAGGGCCAGUCUGAUUUUUUCUGUCCAUUUGUGGGCCUAGCUUUUUAAUUUCUUUGAAUAUCCCGGAGUAUGGCUUUAGCCUUUUCUAACUCAGGGUCUUUUUUCUGUAACUGGGCAAGGCCCACUUCAUUUCUAAUGAAAUUUUAACUUUAUAAAAAAAAGCUUUAGCCUUUUCUCCCCUUUCUGUAAUUGAUUAUUUGAUUUCUUCAUUUUUUUAUAUUAUAAUUAUAUAAAAAAAUACUUUAUGUUAAUCAUUUCUGUUAUGAUUCUUAUGCUAAAUGGAAUUUUAAGUAACAUAUGGUAUUCAUGUUAUUUCUGUAGGUCUUUUCACAUUUACAUGAUCUUGAUCUUCGAUAUCACUUAAGGUAAGUUGUUGAUCAUUCAAUAGAAAUUAAUGUUUUCUUCUUUUCUAUUGCUAUUUUUUAAAUGAACAGAGUUGGAGGAUUUUCAAGUCACUCAUGGAUUCUGUUAAGUACUAAGUUUAGAAACAUUUAUGUCAUUUCAUAGAGUUGUCUCGACUAUCGUCACUUCAAAUGCUAGGGCCUAGGAUACAUGUUAUGCUAAGAGUGACGAAGAUAGUGAGAUACAAUACGAACUACGAACUACGAAGCACAAGAAAAUUUAAAAUAAUAGAUAAUACUAUAAUAAUAUAACAGAGCAUUAUUUAAUAAAGGAUUAAAAGAGACAUAAGGACCAGAUUGCUUUGGAGAAUAGGGACAUCUCAAAACAUUGAAGAUGGGGGGUCCAAAUCCAACCAACCUUCUUCCUAUGCAACAAUGAAGAUGAAACUAGGAGCCACCUCUUUUUAAAUUGCCCCUACUCUAGAGUUAUUCUAAUUUUGUUAGUUGAAAUUCUUAUCAAAACAGAGUGGCAAAUGUAGGUGGAAGUUUCUUGUAGAAUCAGUAAUAUGAUCUAUAGAACAUUACAUAAAAGUGAUAAAACAGAUGACAAACUUUUCGAAGUUUGGUCUCUUUAUAUAGAGAACUAUAAGUAACUGACAUACAGUUUUUAAAUUUAAAAACACAAGUAAUGUCACAAAUUUAACAUACAGUUUUGGCACCUAACUGAAGUAACUAUAUCACUACUCACUAGAUAACAUAGUCACAAAGGAAAGUGUCGAUGCCUUUUCUAUUUUCCAUAGUUCAACAGAACAAAAAGUGCUUCCAUUUUUCAGGAAGCACUUUUUUGCUUUGGACGCUUAAAGCACCAAGGGUAUUUUAGUAAUAUACUAUAUACAUAAUCUUAUAUAAAUAAAUAUAAAACCUAUAGAAAAUUAAAAAUACAUAUAGAAGUAAAAAGUGUAAAAUUAAUAAAAAAAAGGGAUCCAAUGACAUUAUCUAUAUUUUAUUAAAUUUAUAUUUUAUCCAUAUUUAUAUCUAUAUUUUAUAUUUUAUUGCUAGUUCUCAUUGCAACGCCCCUCAUUUUUAUAAAUGAAAAAUUUAACUGCUUGAAUUUUUUUAUUUAUUAAAAUAACAUGUAAUAGAAUAUUAAAGAUUUAAUUCAUACAACUAAAAUAAAUCCAACUACAAUUAAAUCCAAUUAAAAUCUGAAAGUGGGAUAAAGGUUUUUAAUUUGAGUCAGAACAAAGGGGUAGAAUUGAAAAAAAGUAUAUUAAGUGAAAAUAUUAUUAAAUAAUAGGUGUAACUGGAUAAUCGGGUGGAUCUUUACCUGAACCCGUUCGGUUUGAAAAGCGCUCCUCCUAGAGCGCUUUAAGCUCGCUUAAAGGCUAAAGCAGCGCUUUCAAAACUAUGGUAUUUUCUAAUUUCUACUCUAUCUCCCUUAAUCUUUGUAUUUUCUACUUUAUCCUCCAUAUGUAAUCAGGGAUAAUGCACUUCAUUUUUUAUAAGAAAAUUUUAAUUUCUUUAAAAAAUGACUUAAUUUAAUUAUUUUUUAUUUAGAUAAUUGUCUAUGAUAAACCGCUGGCUUGCGAUGGGUCCUAAACAGUCAAACCUUUUUUAAUGAUUUAUCAUAUACUCAAUUUACACUUUUGGAUAAAUAGACAUCAUAUUGCCAUUUAUAACGAUGUGUCAAUUUACUUACAUUUUGUGGAUUAUUUUCCCUUUUUAUGGCAGCCGUCAAACAGGUGCAUUAAAUCGCACUAUUGAUCGUGGAAGCCGUGCUAUAAAUUUCAUUCUUACAGCAGCAGUGUUUAAUGUUGUUCCUACUAUUUUAGAGGUAAAUUCAUUAAAUUGGGAAAUAUUACAGAGUUUUAAUUUUGAAAAUUCAAAAUUUGAUGGAAGAUGGAAAAAUAUAGUGAAAUGAUAUUUAUAAAGCUAGAUUAACCAUUUAAAAUCUCAUAAAAUUUCCUAAACAAUCAAGAUAACUUAUUCCAAUUAUAAAACUAAAGAAAUAUAUUACAAUUAGCACUAUUUUCUUAACAUUUGAUUGGUGAAGUUCUCAAGAAGCCACCAUUUAAUUAUUUAUUGGAUGUCAGUCCUUCCACUGGCUGAUCAAAAUGGCACUACAUAUUCUAUUAGCAUUUGAUGCUUCGUGCUUUUGGUCCUUCCAAGUCUUUGCUGUAAUUAGCGAACAGUCGGACACUUUUGAAAUUUUUACCUUGAUGUACAUAACACCUCCUCUAUUGGAUGUUGGACAUGAUGUAGACGAUCAAGAGGAGAUCAUCUACUGUUAUGCUUAAGCAACUGAGGAGUUCAAUGAAGAAUUGGAAUCUACCAGUGAGAGGAAUCCGGAUUCCAUCAGAUCUGGAAGGAGUAGAAGAAAAUAGGAAAAGAACGAACAGAGUAAAAGCAAGGGAGAGAUAUACCUGGAUGAGAAUAAAAAUGCUAACUAAUUUGUCCCUUUUUUAUUCCUUUUUUACACCUUAUCUCAAUAGGUGGGGGACUACUCUUUGAGAUGAGCCUGCAACCUUAGUUAAGGCUAACUGCACUUCUUGCAAUAGAAGAAGCACAAUUGGAGUCACCCUUAGUUACGAAUAGUUACUAUAUAUAUUACGAAUAUAGCUAUUAUGAUUAAUAGAACUAAUUCUAACAUAUCACUAAUAUUCUUUUUCUUGUCACUCAAAUCAUUCUGUUGGCGACUUAUUGGUCCAAACAUCCUAGUUGACCUCUCUUCCGAUGAGCCUUCUCUUGUCGGAGUUCCACCAACAGAAUUGCAGACAUCCACCCAAAGAGGGAUACUCUGCUGGAACUUAUGAUAGGUGCUAUUCCGAGAUCACGAGGUAGAGAGAUUGAGAUGGUGGGUUGGUUUUCCCCAGAGAAAGAUGUGAAAGACCACAAUAAAAGAAUGUUAAGUUGGCAAAGACAGUUUUUUUCAUCCUCUCAAUCUUCCAUGGUUGCAAAGGAAGAUUUUGAGGCAUGCGUAGACUGUAUAGCAGGGUACCAGUUCAGACAGAGAACAUGCUCUGCAUUAAGAUCCCUUUUUAUAUUUUGCAGAGAAAUCGAGAGAAAGUCAUAAGGAUCCUUUUCCCAAAGGGAUUUGGUAUUUUGGUCCAAUAUGGCAACAAAAUUCUCCAUCAUGAUACGGAGAAUUAAGUGGAAGCACCUAAAUACCUUUCAAAGACUUAGGCAGUGAGGGGUGCAAAGUUUGCAAACACCAUCUGAAUGCCUCCUAUGCAGUAUGCAACACUCAAGAAGAGAAGACUGGAGAGUAGAGACAUCUUCUUCAAUUGUCCAUAUUCCAGAAAAUUCUUACUAGACAUAGCAGCUGCUCUAAAUGAUUCCCUUUUGGAAAUUGGUCAACAUUUUCAUACCCACUCUAUUAGUGUCUGACAUUAGAAUAGAUCUCAUUGAUACAUGUCAGAUAUUCACACACAAAAUCCCUUCUUAGGGCCUACUUUCGAAUUUCAUUGGAUGUAUUAAUUGACACCUCUAGCCCCCUUAAGACCUCAUGAAACUCUCUCCAUGGCUAUCACUCAGGAGUCGGGACAUUGUUUUUUCCUUAAGUUUGAGGACUUUAGGAAGGCCUUUUGUUCACAGUUGAAGGUAGACACUAUGCAAGUAUGGGAGACCAACCUUCUGUUGCUACUUAAUUAAUUAUUUGAGUAUUAGCCAAGGUUUUCUAUGCGUCUAUGCGUUCAUGCGAUGACAUUUUAAGCAUAUAAGUAUAUGCGUGUAUAUACGCGCAUAUACGUAAAUAUGCGACAUGUUAUAUUUACAUGUAUUUUUUAUAAUUACCCCUGAUAUUUCCAUAAUAUAUGAAUAAUAUAAUAUAGCAAAAAGUGUUCCAAUGACCCAAUAAAGUUUAAAAGUCUAAAUAGUAAAUAGAAAUUGCAUAACAAAGUCUAAAACUAUAUAAUUAAGAUUAACAAUAGUCUAAGGCUCUAAGCUCUGGAGAUGACCUGCUGGAGAUGUACUGAUUUCGCUGGAGAUGGCCUGCUCGCGUCUGGAGAUGUACUGAUCUCGCUGGAGCUCGCGUCUGGAGAUGCUUGCUCGCGGAGAUGGCUGCUGGUGGUGGCCGACGGAAGGGAGGGUUACGGGUUUUGGUUUUUUUUUUUAAUUUUUUGUCUAUGGGUUACGGGUAAUAGGGUUUUACCCGAUCCGACCCGCUGACCCGCCCCAGACCCGAAACGCAUAGAACAUCUAUGCGGGGGUCUGGAAAACCGCAUGGUCGUUUAUGCGGCGCAUAAACGUCGCAUAAACGACGCAUAGAAUACCAGGGUAUUAGCUAUAAUGCUAUAUAGGAAAGUGUCAUUGGGCUAUGUUUAAUCUCCCUAUCUUUUUAUUCUAUCCCUAUUUGUAACUCAGGGCACUGCCCUUCAUUUAUACAAUGAAAAUUUUGAUUUCCAUAAAAAAAAUCUAUUCGUCUGUUUGUUAACAAAAUGAUGUUGUAGUGUAAUAUAUUUUUCUUUUUUUCUAGAUAUCAAUGGUAUCUGGUAUUCUUGCAUACAACUUUGGCGCUUCUUUUGCUUGGAUUACUUCCUUAUCUGUCGCAGCGUAUAUUGCUUUUACAUUGGUUAUCACACAGGUAUCUUGGAUAUAUUUUGUGUGCUAUAACAAAAAUACAUUUUUGUUAAUUUUGACUAAUCGUGAUUUAAAAUAUUUUUUACCGUGUUCGUUCAUUUUUGAUAAAUAUUAAGACAAGGUUUCAUUUUAUUUUUCAUAGUGGCGUACUAAAUUUAGGCAGGCGAUGAACAAAGCCGACAAUAAUGCAAGUUCAAGAGCAAUCGAUUCAUUACUGAAUUACGAGGUUUUUUUGCUUGUUGCAUAAUAUUUCUCUUUUUCCUUCUCAUGGGGCAAUUUCUUUGAAGUUUUCUACCUAUCUUUGAUUCUUUUCAGACCGUGAAGUAUUUCAACAAUGAAUCAUUUGAGGCUGCAAAGUAUGAUGUGUUCUUGGAGAGUGAGUACAUUCAAACUAUUGAAUGAUUUGAAUCAUUAAUUUGUCUACUCUUUCAAAGUUUCAAUUAUUUAUCAAGUUUUCGUCUAGAAAUGUUUUAUCUGGGAUUCUGGGCAUAUAUUCAAUUAGAACAAUUUUCAGGUGAGCCCUUCUUAGUUAAGCCCAAAAACGCCCAUAAAAUCCUGACCGUUCAUCCAUUUCAUCUGAAAUUUGUUUUUCCCCUCCAUCUUACACUAAUCCCGAUAUGUACUAUUAUUUUAAAUGUGAGGCCAAGAUUUCAUGGGCGUUUUUGGGCUCAUUGGAGAUGGGCUUCCAUGAAGUUUCUUCUAUAACAUUGUUCUUGAUGCGACUGCAUAUGCAGCUGCAUAAGAGAGUGACCAUGGCUUUAUACUUAUGUAUUUGCAUUUUCCUACAUUUGUAACCUUGGGCACUGCCCAAAUCCAUUUUUCAGAAAUUAAAGUUUUAAUUUAUCAAAAUUUUCAUCCAUUCAUUUUCAUCCAUCCAUUACUUUAAUUAUCAAAAUUAAAGUAAGUAUUUUCAUCCAUUCAUUUUCCAAUGGACAAGAUUUAAUUAAUACUUCUUUCAUUCAUUUUCUAACGGAUAAGUUUUAGUCCAAUGGACAAGAUUAAAAGUAGAUAACUUCAGAUGAAAACGAGAAUUUUUUUACCAACUAUAGGUGGAAUUUUUUUUUUUUAAAAUUAAAACUUUCAUUACUGAAAAAGAGGUUGGGCAUAGCCCAAGAUUACAGAAUAAUAUAGGAAAAUGCAAGUACAGUAAAUGUAAAAACAUUGUCUAUCUCUUAUGCAGCUAUGACCCUGACUAACUGGCCAAGGAUUGCCCAUAAACGUAUAGCUUGUGUUUC
rnacentral:lncRNA from 1 species